UUUUUUUUUUUUUUUUGGGUUGUGCAUGGUUUGAAGAAUGAAAAUUUCCCUCCGACAGCUCGGAUAGCCCUUAGUUUCUAGUUUCUACUCUAUUUAUGAAAAAGCACUUUGGUCAAAAAUUCCUUCUUCAAUUAAUGCUGAAGUAUAGGUGCUACUUGGUACCUCAACAGAAAUAGAUGAUACGGAAUUGAGACUUAGAGCCCAUUUCGACUACCAGUUUAAGAUUUAGAUUUGAAACCUUUUCUCCCUGUUUUUGUUGGCAAUCUUAUCCAUGAGAAGAAAUGGUGAAGCAUGCAAUUUCAAGACAAUUGAUGUUGAUAAUAAUAUAUUUUGCAAACACUUCUUGCAAUCAAGCAAAGGUGAUGAACUGAUUUCUUGUUUAAAAUAGGGUCACUAACAUCUCAGUCCAUUAUUAUUAAUUCAAGAAAAAGGAAGAUGAUGAAUGGAUUUGCAGGACAUCAACCUUUAAGCAGUGUAGCUUUCAAGGAAAAAAUUGCCUGGUGAUUAAGUGGCAAAGAAAUUUAAGAUGUCCGGUAGUCAAUGAAACCAUAGCAUGAUAGCAUUUGCUGAGGGAAGGAUCAGGUAGAGCAGAAUUUUGACCAUUGUAGAAUGCAGAUCACAAAGAUGCUCAAACAUUGAUAGUGAGGUGUCUCUGUCAUAUUUAAUUUUGGUGGAUAUAUCAUCCUUGGCAGAUUUAAAGGGAUUGAUCAAAUCCAAUAUGUGUGGUGUAAGGUGAUGAGGGUGUGGAUUGUGGAGCAACAACAAUUAAUCUGUCCUAGAACACAAACAAAUUGGAAGGUGGCUCCUACAAUUCAUUUAUCAGAUGCUACAACCUGUGAUCAAUCGACCUGUGGAGUCGUCUAUUAUUCCUUAAAAGGAUGCUUAACUAGAGAUCCUUUAGCUAGUUGAAUAGAUCAUGGAAUGAAUUAUGAUCAGCCAUUUAGUAGCAAUGCAUGGCAACCAAUGCGUGCUGUUCCUGUGACCAAGACUGUUUCUUCAGCACAUAAAACUGAAAGGAAAAAUGAUGCACAGAACUAUAAGAAAUGACCAAAGACACUGUGUCUUUAGGGCUAUGCUCAAACUCACUUGUAUGAAUAUCUCAGCAUGAAACACUUCUCUAAAUGCUAAAGCUGAACAUGGAAAGCCUAAUAGCUUUGACAUCCAUUCAGCGGCCUCAUUUAGGGCAAAUCAACGUGUAAAAUGCCGGUAUGGUAAUUCAGGAGAAGGAAUCCAUCUAAAACAUUGAGAGAUACCGUAUAUUUCCUUGUGAGUUAAGCGUGUAUUCAACCAAAAGCAGUCAUCGCGUAUGAUAAAAUACACUACAUAUUCUAGUGUUGACAUAUAACUGAUACGCAUAGUUCACGGAAUUAAAUUACAAAUUUGGACUCUAUCAUGGAAAUUCCAAGGCUACAAAGCAUUGGUAAAGUUACCUUCUGGGGUUCAUUAGCAAAAUUUCGAACUCACAUAGAAGGAUAAACUCUAGCUAAAAAACAUGGAGGUUAGAACCACAUACAGUUAGGAUUGCCUUCCUAUUAAGCUCGAGGUAGCUUUCUCUAGAAUUCUUCUCCCUCUACUGCAGUUUCACCAUGAUCCAUGUUGUCAUGCUUAAACACAAAACCUGAUGGGGGUCCGUCAACUGAAAGCGUGCCUUCCAGUACCUUAACUACUUCGCCUAUGGAAGGUCUCAAAUAUGGCUGAAUUUGCAUACACCACAUUGCAAUUUUCACCACUCUUUCCACUGCUUUGAGAUCAUCAAUGUCACCAAAAUUUUGUUCUUGAGACAACUCAUCAAGCACUUGCUGCAAAUUCUUCCCAUUCACAACCCUUUUGCAGGUAACAAUCUGCAACAAUAGUUGUCCAAGCAUGUAUAUGUCCUUCUCUGAUGGCGUUUCCGAAGAAGAUGCUGCUUCCUUGAAGAGUAAAGUCCUUAAUCCAAAAUCUGUCAACUUAGGGACAAGAUUUUCAUCAAGACAGACGUUCUCUAGCUUCAGGUUCCCAUGAGUGAUGCAUUGUUGACACUCCGUGUGGAGGUAAGCAAUAGCACGUGCAAUUCCAACAGCAAUAUUCAGUCUUUGUUCCCAAAUCCUUCUGUUUUCAUCCUCCUCAGAGCUGAACAACCAUUGAUCCAGUGAUCCAUUGGUAACAUAUUCGUACAGAAGCAGUUUAUGUUUUGGUUCAAAGCAGAAACCUUUUAUGGCUACUAAGUUUCGAUGGUGUGUCCCACCCAAGGUAGAAACUGCAACUCGAAAUUCCUUCUCAGGAACAGCAACAUCAUUCAACAUUUUAGCAACUAUGACUGUUUUGUUCAGAAGGGUACCUUUGAAAUGAGAAGGACCAAGUGGAGUUGCAAAGUUGUCAGUCAGUUCCCUUAUCUCUUCAAAAUUAAGUCUGACGAGAGCACUGUAAUGUGGGUUCAUUUGAGCAUCCUUUCCAAACGGAAUACGUGUUUGAGCUUUAAGUUGUCCUCUCCGGCGCAAAAGCCAAAACGCAAACAUCUCCGUGCCAACAACAAUUGAGACUGUUAUAAAAACGAUCAGUGCUAUUGCCCCAAUGAACACCCUGAUGUUUCCUCUACCAGCUUUGUUUCUGCCAAUUGGCGAAUAAACUAAUCCUUCAUCAUCAUGGGGGUUCACACCUUGAGCCGCAACUGCUUGUGGAACAGAACAAACCUUCAAAAAUGAAGUUGAAGGAGCAGAAGGAGAGCUAUAACCACUAAUAAAGCUUGUUCUUUUGACAGUGCAGCGUCCUGAACCAUCAUUCAUCGAUGUAGCUGCAAUGCAGGUGGAAUCAUUUGAGCAGUAGCUCUUGCAAUCAUUCUGGCUCAAAAACAGGUUAACAUCAUUUGUUGGAUAAAGGCCAUAAAGAACUGUUUGUUUUAUAACAACCAUGCUGGGAUGCAUUCUACAGUUCCCCAAAUCCACCAUUUUUUGGCACCCUGAACCACUUGAAUCAACUACAGCAGAAGUGGUUCCACCUUCAGAGGAUCCAGAAUACAGGCAACCACAAACAGGGCCAGAAGAAUUAUAUUUACAGACACUAUACAAACCGCAAGAACCAAACACACUGCACUGAUCCCCCACUGCUUGCCAUCCUACUUUCCACUCGUUCACAUUGUCCCAGGAGUAAAUUCUCAAGUUGCCAUCUUGGUCGAUAGUAAGGUGUCUCAAAGUAACUGAAAGGUCUCCAAAAUCCUUACUUGAUACAGACCAGAAAACUUUGUCAUUGUUAUCAGACAGCCCCAAAACUCCAUUAGCACCAAAUCUUGCUUCCUUUACAAUCACAGAGGAGCUUAACUGGCUCCUCCAGUAGGUCACAUUAUGCUCCCAAACUAGUGCUAGCUCACCAAAUUUGCUAAUUACCAAACUAUAGUAACUUAAUGUUGAUUUUUUUGAAAGGGCUCUAAGAUUUUGAGGAUAACAGAGAGACUGACCAGGAAGUAAAGUAUUUGUUGGACUACCAAAACUUUCCCACAACACCUUAUCUUUACUAUCCAAAAGAACCAAAUUUCCAUUGUUCAAAAGACUAGCUUUUGCAACACCCAAAGUGGAGGUAUUACUACUCCAUACAGGAUUUCCAUUAGGGUAUUGAACUAAAACUAGUCUGCCAUCCAUGUCAAGCCUAAUGCUGGAGUUUCUAGAAACUUUAAUGCCCCCACCAACAGUCCAAACAGGCAAAUUUACAGUUAUAUUUCCUAAGUUAUACCUAAUGCCAACUGCGUAGCUAUCAAGAUCAUCAUCGCCAUCCUUUUCCAAGAAUCCAAAUGCAAAAACCCUAUUUUCAGACACCCAGUUCUUGCUCUGGUCCAUCCCAUUAAUCUCAAAACCAAGAGGGACGGAAACCAUGGUAAAAUCAUCACAAAGCACAUUUAAAGCAGAACACAAGUACAGCACUACUACUACAACUGAAACAGUACUAAACCAUCCAUAAAAACAGUUUAAAUUGCUCUUACCUGAAAAAUGUUUGAUUGCCACAGCAGAAAGAAACAUUUCAACUGCAAGAAAAAGCUGAAAAUUCAGGGUACAGGAGCUUGUUUCAACAGAGCAAAGUAACACUAGAAAUAAACGGAUGAGGUAUGUUUGAAACAACUUCUGAGGUGGAUAUGAAGGAUAAAAAGUGUCUCAAGUGCGUUGGCCUUUUCUCCGUAAAAGAGAGAGCAACUGAAAUGAAUCUUUGUUGGAGCAAGAAUUGUAACAAACAAAGAAACAAAGAUUCAACUGUGACCAGUUAGCAUCUUUUCAGGUAACAAGAUUCUGAUUGCCUUAUUCUCAAUAUCCCACUACCUAAAAGUACAGCACUCGCCGCUUUUUGGAAGCACUAUUCUAGUAUCUUAUGCUCAAAAGUAGAGAACUUUUGCUCUCACUUUUGUAACUCGAGGCGUCUGUCUUUUUUGGAUUAGGCCGAUUCAAACAUUUUCUUGGAUUACUAAUUACUGACUGUUUUAUUCUCUGCUUUUCUUUUCCCUUUUCCCUCCCUCUCAUUUUGGUAAUGUUUAUGCCUUUCCUUAUUCUUGGGGUCAAGAUGUGCAAUGAUGGAAUGUUGCAUGUCAACAGGAGUAAAUGUUUGGACCCACGGUUUUAACUCGUCAAAACUUUCAUAAAUAGAAUCAGCAAAUGCUCCAGCCAAGCACAACCUGGCCCCAAAAAAAGAAUGUAGGAAAUUCAAGAACAGAAGGGAAAUUGAUAGUAAUACAUAGUUUCAGAGCUGGAAAAUUGAUUGGUAGCACUCCUACAUUUCGGUAUAUCUCUUUAGAAUUUAAGGCUGAUGUCAAAAUUAAGGAGCAAAAGAGAAAUACACUACUGCAUGAACUGAGCUUAUGCCCUUGGGUUUGACAAGCAAAAACAACCACUAGCAAUCAAGGCACCGUUUCGAACCGGGGAACGCGAGGGAAAAGGAAAGAGAGGAAUUCGAGAGAUUUGAUUUUUGUUGUUUGGGUUAACUUUCUGAAGGGAAAAGAAUGAAUACAGAAGAAAAAGAUCUAGUUGUUUUGUUGAAUUAUUGUUUCCGCUUAAAAAUGGGCAAAAAUGAAGGGGAAUGAAACCAAAUUAACUAAAAAUAUUUAAAUUUUUUAAAAUACUAUUUUUUUCUUACCUUUUUUUGUAAGCUAAUACUUUUUUUCUUUUUUUUGGACACAAUAGAAUUUAUUGCAGACAUAUUCCUACUCUAUACCAGAGAGAGGGAGGGAUCUAAAGAGAUCCAAGAGGAACUUAGAGGGGAUUAAAUCACUAUCAACCCAAACAGGUGCGUGGCGAACUUUUCAGAGAAGUUUGGAUUUUUUAGAAUGCAAAUCAACACUCAAGUAGAGCUCUAAUGCUCUUUUAGUGGCCAACUAUUCUAGGAAUAGUUGGUUUCUGUAAACUAAUAUUUGAUUAGGAACAAGUAUUGGUUUCUCUUGAUCUUUUUCAGAGUUUAGGAACAAGUGCAGAGGAAUUUGUUCAUUUCUUGAGGUAAUACGAAUGUUUGUGUAUAGCAAGUGCAAUAUCAGACAAAAUGUGGGAAGAGGAUGUAUUAAUUUCACAUUUCAAAUUUCAAAAUUUUGGAAUAGCUAAAAUGAUAAGAUAUUGAGUGAUGUUAUUGUCUACGUCUAUAUGGAGGACACAGCUUGUUUAAAGCAGCAACAUGAUUGAUAAUAAUUCACCAGUUGACAUAACAACCGUGAGGUAGGUUAUUGCACAAAAGCAAUACAAAACCCGUCUAUUAAGCAUAACACUUGAUAGCAAGCUUUCCAAGUUUCACAAUAAUGCAACACUUAAUAAUGCUGCAACACCUUAUGUUGAAGAAGUAAUCCCAGUCUACUAUGUUGAAGAAGUAAGGAUAGCGGGGUACAAAUAAUUGUCAAUGCAAUCAUGUAUAAAUGGUGCAAUACUUUUCAAGUAGGUUGUAAUUCGUCACAAAAUUAGUUGUACAGUUUUAUAAUAGUCAUGUUAUAAUCAACUAUCGUUUAUAUAGGAUUGUACACGUCAAUUACGUCAAAAUUACAUGAACUGAGUCAUACAUCUUCAAAAUCUACACUGACGACUAAAUUCGGACUGUAGAUUGUUUGGGACGAUUGCCCUUGUCUCUUUCUGACAACCGUGGCUAUCCCUUGUCAAUGUUUUUAAAUUCGGAUGGGAGAGUGAACAGGAAAACCUUCCGAUUCACGACUCGAUUGGUUCAACUGAUUCGACCACGGUUCAUAGAUUUAAUAAUUUUUUAAUUCAUUUUAGUAUUAAGAAUUAUGAAUAAAACUAAAAUAUUUAUUUUAGAAAAUAAAAAGUUGUUGAACCUUCCAAUUUUUACCGGUUCAAUUAAUUUUUCCAUUUUUUAAUUGAAUCGGACCGAAAGCAUGGCUGGUUCACGGUUCAACCGAUCGGUCCGGUCCAAUUUUAAAAAACAUUGCCCUUGUUGCAAAUAACUGGCUACCCAAGUCCCUAAGCAAAAGAAAAAAUAAAUAAUACAAAAAAGAAAAAGUUACCGGAUUAGUAGUUAGGCUGAGCAAACCAGGAAAGGAAAGCUUGUAUACCUUGGAAGGUGGAAACAAGGAAGUUGUUGAAAAAUGAAACCCCAAAAAGAAAAAAAAAAAAUGCUGAAAGAAAGAAACAGGCAGAAUGAAAUGGCAGGGGGCGAGGGGGGGGGGGGGGGGGGGGAACAGUAGGCUUCACUUUUGAGAUUUGUGCAGAAAAUGUUAGAUCUUCUGGGGACUCGUUUGCAUGCAAACAGACAAAGGUCCACGCUUGCGUGUCGAGAGUCGAGACCACUCCGCUCCGUUCCCACCAUCCAAAGCUGAGGUCCCAAUAUUAUAACACAACCACGGCUUUCCUUAGCUGUAUUCUGUAGCAUUUUGUACGAGAGGAGCCACCAGACCAAUUACUACUCUCAUCUUUCACAUUCCAAAAUCCACAUUUUUAAUGUCUGUGUGCCCUGUUCUGUUCCCUUUCGAACUCCCUGUUGUUUCUUCUCUCUCUCCCUCUUUCUGCUCUCUCCGUCCUAUUUUAAUAGUUUUAUUUUUCUUUUUCAUCUAUCCCAAAUUAUGAUCCACUUUUCAAUUGAACAAUGUAGUUGUCUUUUAAUUUCUCUAAAAUAUCCUUAUUUAAUGUAAGUUGUUAUUACUAUAAAUUACCUUAUUUAAUAUAGAUUGUUAAUAUUAAAUAUAACUUAUCCCAUUUAAUGCAUUUAGAUUUUUCAAAACAUAUUGAUAUAUGAAAAGCCAAAUUUAUUUAAUGUAAGGGUAUUUUAGAAAAAUAACAAUCUAAAUUUAUUUUUCCAAAAAAGUUAACUACUUUUUCUAAAACUGUGUGAAAAAAAUUAGGACUAUCAAAAUGGGACAGAGGGAAUAUUUUUUUUUUUUUGAGGAAAACAAGAAUUUCAUGUUGAUGUUAACUCGAGAGCUCAAAUUUUUAUGCUAUACGAGUAAUUUUUUAUAAGAAAUUAUCAAAAAUUACCCUUCUUAAAUCAAUUUAUUUUCUUCACUUGUAAGCAGGAUUAUGCAUUUCAUAGGUCAAGAUAACUUUUCCUUGUAAGCCUUGACAAAAAUCAUCAGAGUGACAGAAUGCAUUUUCUCUCCUUCUCCUUCGUAAGAGUACUUGUGAAUUUGCAUAAUCAUUGGACUUUAAUGCAUUCAAUCUGACAUAGACAUAUAGUAAUACUGAUAUUUACCAUUCAAAGAAAGUAAUAGGUGUAUCAAUGAACGUAUAAAUUCAAUAAUCCAAUCCAAAUAAUAGGGUUUGCAUUUGCAUUUUAAGUAAUUUGCUACUAAUUAGAAAUCUCUCAACACUUUUUGUCUAGUUUACUUGAUUAUAUAACAAGUUCUACCAGCCUUAAAAAGGACAUUCCAUUCUUAAAAAGAACACGUUACAAAGAAGAUGUUCAUAUCUUCACAUUUCUUUUUGGUUUUUGUGUCACCCUGGAAUCUAUCUUCAAUCUAUUAGGUGCCUUAUUUAAAAAAAAAAAAAAAAAACUAUUAGGUGCCUUUGAUGGAUUCCCUUGAGAUACCUAUGGUUUUCUUUCUGGUAAAACAAAACAAAAAAAAAGUUUUCUUUGUGGUUUUUGAGAAAACACAAAAGCCCAUUUAGUAGUUAGCCACUUUAAGCUUUUUGUUGCUUGGACUUUUGACUGGCCUCCUAAAUGGUCCAUUAAGACAUUAAAGGAGAUGAAAAUUGCAAAUAAUCCAUUGUGUAAAGUUUCUUUUUUUAAAUAUUUUAUUUUUUUUCCUUCAGUCUAAGAACUCCUAUUUACAAUCCUUCCUAUCUUACCCUCCGAGCCAACCCUUCCCCUAUAAAGUUCUUUUAUUUGAGGAGAAUAUUUUCCUGUUCGAGUUACCGUGAUAAACCACCAUCUUAAGGACGUAAUGCUAAUCAUCAUCACUAAGCAACUAGAGUGGAAAUUGCAAUAUUUCUGCCCAAACAAAAUGCUAAUAGAACAAGAAGGCGGGGUUAUUUUCUCAUCUAUUGAUACUUUAGUGGUAUAGUUUUGUUAAAUGGUUAGUGCUACUUAGUAUUUUGAAAACGUCCACAAGGUAUAAUCUGCUUAUCCGCUGAAAGAGGCAAGACUAAGAUAACACAAGAUUUGUAAAUUUAUACAUGUAAUUUCAUGCAACGUAGCCAAAAAAAAAAAAUUUGAAAAUUGAAAAUGUUCGGCCCAAAACGUUUUUAUUUGGCUAGGCUUUGGUGCAUCCUUACCCAAGCAAUCAAUAGGAUAUUCCCUUCCAGCCCAAUUAACAAUAACGUUACUUUUUCAAUCCACAGUCCUCUCAACUUAGGAUGGAAUUGGGCCAAUUGGUUACUAAGUCAGCCCCUACCCAAUAUCCAUACCUUUUAGUAUUCUUUAGAUGCAUAACUGAAUUGAUAAAAAUUUUCUUAUAUUAACCAUAUAUAUAAAUAUAUAUAUAUAUUAAGUGCGUAAAAUUUAGAGUUUAAAUUCAAUCAUUCAUUUAAUGAGGCAAAAUUUAAUCAUUCAUUUAAAUAUGAUAAUGUAUACAUUAUCAGUGUAGGUAAAAUUAAUCCUAAAUGUAACUACUAUCAAACUUUCAAUAUUCCAAGAAAUGAAUGAUUGAUGAACAAGAUUACAACGACAAUGAAAGAACAAUGUGCACAAUAUCAAAAGUGGAUUCUUCAAAGAGCAAAGUGAAUUGAACCAAAAUUUCCCAAAAAGACAAGAAAGAAGAAGCAGAAUAGAUGAGUUAUGUAACAGGUGCAAUGGAUCUAGCAUGCCAGCUACUGUUAAGUAGGCCACAGAUAUUAUGCUCACAAGUUCAUAUACAGAAAUGUGAAUUUAAUUGGAAAGUAUGUUCAGCAUCACCAUUAUUGAUGUGGUGGUUGUGUAGUCAUGAACCAUGAACCACAAAAGCCAUCUCAAUUUUAUAGAAAGCCCUCUUAAUUUUACUGGUCCUACCAAGCCUAACCAUGAUUCAAAGGAAGCAAAGAAAAUCCAAAAUGUUUUUGUUUUUCACCCUCAAAAACUAGACAAAAAAGAAAGUUUUCCUCUUCUGAAAUUAGCAACAUUAAUUUUAAAAAGUGAUAACUGUAUAAUUUGCUAGUUCUUGAACAUUGCCCUUGGGGAAAAAGGGACAAUGUGUAGAAUUGCACAAGAAAAAGUAUAAGCAGAAUAUUUAGUUGUGAAGUAGUUCAAAAAUAAACCACAGCCCUUAGCGGACGGCGGCUUGAGAUUGUAUCCAGAAGAUUUGAUUCAGAUUAAUGUUAACGUGUUAAAAGUAUAAUUUAUACUACAAAGUACCAUUGAAAAAUGUAAGCCCAUGAUUCAUCUCAUUAUUUUGGAACUGAAGCAACAGAAAGAUUUAAAAAAAAAAAAAAUGUUGCAGAACUGAGCUGCUGCAGCUUUUGUCUGGAAUAAGAAUAACCCUUUACUAGAAUCUCCAUGAUAGGAGAGAAUUCAUGAACUGAACACAAGAAUCAGUUAAGCUCAUGUAAGUUGACGAUCUCCUGCAGAUAAUGUCCUGAUCUUCAACGUUAGUGUACAACUUCUGAAAAGUUGCGUUGCUCUGGAUCUCCAUGACAAUAUUCGAAUCUACAACUUCAACCUGUUCUAUUUGUACUAGAAAUGUUGGAACAUUAUUUUGCGUCCCAAAUCCAAAAGUCUACUCUUCAUGCAAAUACAUCUCUUGAACCUAGAAUUUAGUUGAACAAAACAACCCAUGAGAGUGUAGAUUAGAUUCCAAUGCUACUCUUGUCUGUACUUUUGGCAACUCUAUGUUUGGAAUUUGAGAUCCACAAUAUAAAAUUUCCCCACUUGGCAUUCAGAACUUUACAUCACUAAGCUCUUAUUUGAACAAUUAAUGAUCUCUCACUUUACAUGUAGCAUGGCUGUCAUGUACCUCCAGUGUUUUUUCAUGUUCAAUAAUAUAAAAUUCGCUACAAUAGAUUUUGUUUGUAGUUUCAAGUUCUCAACGUCCACAGCCAUUUGUAAAGCUUAGGAUGUUUUGUAGUUACAAGAAAGUAUGUUCAAAUUAGGGUUGCAAAUGAAUUAUGCCGGUUCAUGAGCGCUCGUCAAUUAGUUCAGUCAAAGUUCGACUCAGUUAAACUUGAAUCACUUAAUGGGACUGUCCAAUCAAGCCAAAUAACUCUAUAUAUUUUUUGAUGUCUUAAUGAACCAGUUUGAUCCUAUAUAUAUUUUUUUAUAAUUUUUUAUUAUUAGUGAAAUAACAAGUAGGUCUCUCGUAUCUUUAUUAUCUAUUCGAGUGAUUUAUCUAUUUUGAGUGAUUUGUCAUGUCUUUAGUUUUUAUUUACCAGUAAUGGUUCCCUACUGACCCCCUUAUUGUAGCCUUAGUUCAGCAUUUUUUUUUAACUAAAGAGGAUCAAUAGUGGUUUCUACUAACCCCUUUGAUGACUCGAACCCGUGACCUAUUCCCUUGAUUGCUCGAAUUCGUGUCUGUCUGUUUUGGAUGAAGCGUUUUGUCAACAAAGCAAUGCCUGGUUGUCCAACCUUAGUUCAGUUGAUUUAUCAUGUACUGGUAAAUUAAUUUAACUUAUUUUCCCCUUUUCUUAAACUUUAGAUAUUAAUAUCUAACAAUUAUCCCUAAGCCAAAGUUGAUAAAUGUUGAUUAACAAACAAUACAAGUUCUUCCCCUCCUACGAAAGAAAAACCCACCAAUUAGACAUUUUUAUUGUUGAGUAGACCUUGUUGAUUAACUCCUUAUGUUGUUUUAAAUUAAAUGAUUGAGAAUUAUCCAUGACCAUGCCACCAUUUUUUUCUAUUUUUUUUUCUAUCAGAAGAGAGAUGGAAUUUAAGAAUCUAGGAAGAGGAGUCUCAAUUUUAGCCACUGGAUUAAUCAAAGCCUCCUUAAUCGGCCGUGACCAUGCCAUCCUUCUUGUAAAAAUUCAGACAGAAUUUCACAAAGGGGGUUAUCUUCCAAUUUAUGCUAAAUUUAAUUCACAUUUGAAUUCUUUACCUUCCACAAUCCGUAGAGUUUCAAGUCAUUGGAGAUGGUCGUGCAUUUAGGUUAAAUAAAGAAUUGAGAGGCCUGCAAUUGUAAAAGCUAGCUAGCAUGCAUUCUAACUUUGUAUACCACAAGUAAUUAUGACCCUCUAACUUGCCCUAAUUUUGGGUUAACGACCUGACCUGGUCUAUUAAGUCCUCAACUACUCCGAGUUUUGUGAUAAGAUGUAGAAGUUGGUAAAAGAGUUGUUUACAGGCUUAGUUGUCACUAAUAUCAGAAACGUAUUGUUUCUUCUACGAUGCAACUCAUAUUUAAGUUGAUUAAUCCUGCUUAUUCAUUCUAUAAUAAAGCAUUACUAGAAUUCUGACUCGUGCUAUGCAUAGAUUGAUAUUUCAAAUCAAAAUAGUAAAAUUAUUUUCGUUAAAAAAAUGUUAUUUGGAAAAGAAAAGCAAAUAGUUCAAGAUGGUGUCAAUUUUAGUGUCAAUUACGACUAUCAAAAUGUGUUAGUUUGAAAAUAAAAGCAAAGAAAAAAAAAUCCCUACUCAUGGACUUGAAAGAAACUACUAUGAAAUUGCCUGAAAGUUUGUGUCUAAUUGUCAUAUAUUUUUCACAAUUGCUUUUAGAAAAAUUCUUUUCUUUCAUUGUAUCAUACCCUGAGAAUUUUUUUUUUUUAUAUUUUAAAACUAUCUAUGGUUGCAUGAAUAACAGAAAAAAAAAAUCUAAUUCCAGUUGCAUUAUUAGGCAACAUUUGAUUUCAUUAUUACGACUAAUUUCAACCAUGGAACCUGUUAUUAACAUAUGGAAACUCUUGAAAGCAAAGACUCAUCAAUGCCGGUGGAGAAUGCUUAUGCUCCAAAUUUCCUACGCGGUUUGGAAAAGGAAAUUUUUAAUAAGGCCUUACUCGGUUUCUGAAACUUGAUUUCUUAUGCAAAGACUACUAGUCAAAUAUAAAGAUUUUGGCAAGAAAAUUAAAUUAUACACAACGGCAUUUACUUGUCAAUUGAAUCAAUCCGAGGCAUGUACUUAUCCUAAUUAUUAAACUAUAAACAUGCAGUUAGUUGUUGUAAACUCAGCAGAUCCGUCGGAAAAUUACGUCGUUUUCCGUGAUCACAUUUUUCUAUUACCUUUUUUCCUCACAUACAUCAAAUCGCUACAGUAAUUUUUUCAUGAAAAAUUAUGGAAAAUGCAAUCCAAACACAACCUUAAACUUCUGUAAUUAGAGGAGAAUUUGUCAAAUAUUUUAAGUCGGUGAAAAUGUGUACAAUUGCAUUUUGAAUUGUAUACAUGUAUUUUUCGAACUCUUUCUUCCGUUAUUUGGAGGAAAAUAUGGGAGCGUAAUGGUUUUAAUCGAGUCUAACGCUUUAACCUUUGCUCAAAAAAUGAGACACUUUAUCAUUCUGACUUAUUUGUUUAUUUUCAUAAGCAAAAAAAGAGUCAUUUUAUCAUUCUAGUUUACCUAUUUAUUUUCAUAAGUUUGAAUUGCAUUCAAGUUUGACUUGUUUAUUUAUUGAAUUGAACUCGGAUAAUCUUCUAUUAAGGCAAGCAUAAAUAGUUUACCUUUAUCAUAUGCAAGUUCUAUGUUCUAUAUUAAUCUAGUCGAGUGAGUAUGUACUUAGCUUGAUUAAUUGGCAAACCAAGAACGAAUUCAGCCUUGUUUGGAUUGCAUUUUUCUGGAUUUUUUUUUUAUAGAAAAAUUACUGUAGUGAUUUGAUAUAUGUAAGAUAAAAAGGUAAUUGAAAAAUGUGUUCACUGAAAUGUAACAAUUUUUCUUUGGAAAAUUGCUGUCCAAACUAUAUUUUAGUAUCGACCAGUUGUCUUUGACCCCCUAGGAAGAAUCAGGUCUGUCGACAUAAUUCUCAAUAAUAUUUUUUAAACAUGAAGAUCUGACUGUUGGUCCUGGACAAAAAAGAACUGAUGAAUCGACAAAGCAAUACAUGAUGUCAAAUGAAUUAGCUUAGGCUUGGAGUAGCAGCAAAGGAAGUAGACUAACAGCAUUUGGUAAAUUUUUAUGCAUCUACCCAGAUCAAAGUCACAGCACAGCAACACAUCAAACCAACAAGCCCCUUUUGAAUAGAUCCAAUCAAGCUUUCUUUUCUCAAGGAGUUGACUCUGAUUAUUGAAUAUGUCUGUUUCCAGCAACUGGACCAGGUCAUAGUCAGUGAACGCGGAGAAUUGUGGGAUCCCACAAUCUUCUGUCACUCACCUUCAACAUCAUAUCCAAAAGGAUUUCAUCAUUGUUAAUGCAAUACUUUGGGAAAGAAACAGUUUGUACUUUUCAUGUUUUUGUUGAGCUAAAAGAAAUAACUGAACAUUUGCAAGCUUGAAAAGGAAGAAAUCGAAUUUCCUUUUUGCUUCUGAUUACAAGGAAGUUUUACAAACUUCAUCCUGUAUGCUGUACACUACGAGAACAAAAAUGUGUACAUUGGCUGAGUAGGGAAAAAAAAACAAAAAUUGUCAAAGAAUCCCUACAAAAAGAAUGACAAAGAAUUCCUAGGUCAUUUUGGUAUUCACACAAAAGAAUAGAUUGAUUGAACAACUAAUCCUAUAGCCCUUCUAGUGUGGUGGAUAGAUCAGCAACUGAAAUGUACUUCUUUCUUACACAAUGGAGAUGACUGUGGCCUCCUAUGAUGACCUGUUCUGUGCAGGAUACAAGCACUUCUGGGAGAUAAGUUAGCUUGUUCUAGAGCAUGGGAUUGUAGCUCAGACGGGUAGUCCCUUAAACAGCCUAUCCGUGGACCAGCUCCCGUACUCCAUUUGCAAGACAACUUAUUCCCUAAUUGGAAUGGUUUCAAUCCUGAAUGAGGACUGAUCCUCAGAAUAGAGUCUUCGGAUACAGAAUGUUCUUUAGUUGCAUCAAGCUCUUUAGUAGACAAGUUAGGCCUUGGCUUUUCUGAUUCAGAUGAUUCUUCUGCUGUUUCAUAACCAUCCGUGGGGGAUUCUGGUGGCAAGCUGUUGGGAUCUAAUUGAACUAGUUCGCUUUCAGACUUGAACCUCUCUACUAAAGCGUCUUUGCUUGGUAUCUGAAGAUUUGUCAAUUUACUAGCAAAGCAGUCGAGUGGCCUUGACUGAGUGAGUUCAGCAGGAGCUUUAUUUAAUCCUUUCUCGGAGUUAAUUCUUCUUUCUAAAUUCGAGUCUACGACAUCACUCUCUUCUAUCUUCAAGCCAAUUUUGUCAGCCAGAUCCUCUUCAGAGGAGUUAUUCCUUAGGUGUCCACUGGUUGUCCUUCCAAAUGAUUCAUCUUCAUCUACAGAGUCAAGCUGGCAUUGCAUUGACAUUAAUCAGCAUCAGAACUUUUUCUAUGUUGUCUUAAGGAAAACGGAUAAAAAAUGAAAACAAGUGAAGGAGACAAGCCGCAAUUGUACCUUGACAUCAGUUAGAUCCACAUUGUUGUCCCUCAGAAAUGAAAUGAAGUCUUGAAAAUUUUCUGGUGUUGGCCGAUAAUGGCCACUGUGAGGCCAGACAGCCUGUAAGAAAUUGACAAAAAGAACGUUAAUACCAAUCCAAUAUGGGAAUUCCAUAUAUAACCACUUAAAGAGUCUAGAAAAGAUAGUUUUCACAAUCUGUAAGCUAAGUUAUAAUCUAUACCUUUAAGAUGCCGUUCUCAACAACUAUCCUCCCAGCAGCUAAUGCGGCACCCCCCGCCAGAAAACUAGAGUGCUGAAAUGUUCCCUUCUUUUUCUUGCCCACAUACAUGGUCCUUGUGGUACCGAGAACGAAAAUCCAUUUAGCCUUAGGUUCAUCAGAGGUGUCAAGUAACUCUCCUGUUUGCUUAUAGAAGAGUUUUCCAUCUUCCACUGCAACUUCAUAAGCCUUUCUUUCCAUCUGUAAUACGGAAAACAAAACUACCAGUUAGAAAAUCUGUGAAGGCAUCAAACUUGCAUAUUUUGAUGAAGUUAUUUGAAAAUGACGAGCAAAUGAAUGAAACAUACCGGGCCAAGAUACUUAAUGCACUGCUGCUGAAGUUUUGUUCGAGGACAUUUCUCAACAAGAUUAACCUCUUUUCCUUCUCCGAUAUCUAGCCUGCGUUGAAUCAAUUUCAAUAGUUAGUAGCAUGCACUAAAAAACAAAAAAUUGCUAAACAGUCAAGAUGUUUGUUUUCAAGAAAAUUACCAGUAGAAGAAAGGUUCUUUGCUUUGAGAAUGAAACCAUUUGACAUAAUAGAAAUGUAGAUUGUGUCCAUAACGAUGUCGAGGAUCAAUCUGCUCAACCAGAGACAAGAAGAUUAUCAGAUGAGCGAACCUUCACAAUGGAGAAAGUUUAAAAACUGUCAAUCAACAACUGAUUCUACUUACCGCCUCAAGCCAAUGUUGCAAUGCAAGUUUCUGUGCUUUUCCAUUCUUUGACAGUCCUUUCCCUACUUUGGCAGCUCGUGUUCUUGCUCUUGACCAGCGUGAGAUAGCACUCUCAUGUUUAUCAAGGUCAAAGAAUGAUAUUGAACUAUGCUUGAGUUCUGCAAAAUCUAAUAGCUUCCACCUACAAACAUCAAGAAACAGCAUCAGAUAAGUUUGAACUCCAUUACGAAACAAAACAAAACAAAAAGACAAUUUCUUUGAGCAGACACUUUCAAAGCUAACAGAAGUACAUACCAACUGUUCUCGAUUAGAACAGCACAAUCUGCCAACUUUCUUCUAGUCCGGAAGCUUUUGUAUACUUUCUGCAACUUUACAGCAGCUUCAUGCUUCGGGUUGCUGCAAUCCAGGAUUGGCAAUUGUGGCACUUUAACAGUGGCCAUACUUUGUUUUAAAGACUGAUUGCCCAUCUCUUCAGUCUCAGUGUCAAUUACAGAUUGGCAGUUUCCAUAAUCGAGUGAUAGAAAUGCUUUUGAUUCAGAAUCUUGGCUGCUGAUGCCCAUAGACCACUCUGGUGUCUUCUUUUCAUCAUCUCCAGAGAAGCCAAUGGAUUUCACAAUUACUGAGUCAAGUCCAUCCUGGAGAUCACAGUAUGCAGCCAAUAGGCACGAAAAUGAUACACCCAUGCAAUUUUGGACGGAUUUUUAACAGUUUAAAACACCUGGAUUCCUGUAAUGAAGGACGAUUAGUACUAUAUUCAAUUGCCUGUUGCGCAAAAAGGAAUUCAUUAAAAGCAACAAUUGGAUACUAAUAAGAAAAGCAAAUUAAGUCCUCCUAAGAUGAGCUGUCAAAAAGUAAGACAAGAACAACAUCAAAUACUGCAAACAGCUAGAAUGAAAAACAGUAACAUUGUGAAACAGUUCCCAAGAACCAAUUCAAACAAACAUUAAACAAAAUGGGGAUCAAAAGGGGACUAAAAAAGACAAGAAAAGCCCACAAGGCACAUUUUCGUAUUAACAGCUUUUUCUGCACAACAGAAUACGAAUUGGUCAAGAAGUUGAGUCACAGUUUCGCAGAAUACAAUCUGCAUUCGUGGACACACUUAUUCAUCCGUGGAUAUGCCUUUUGACAGCUUUUAAGGGUUGAAUCCAAAAUUCUAAAAUAUUACCAGAAGAAACUAAGAGAUCUGCCAUUCGUAAGAUUGCAGAACAAAAUGCUCCCUAACCCAAUAACUGGAAUAGCAUUUCCCGUGCAAAGAAAAACAUCUUAUUAAAAGAUAAUGUCCAAUGAAAUUGUGCAUUGAUUACAGCACUCAUCCAACAACAUGCACUUUAAACAUGCCAACAUUUCAUCAAAACAGAACUAACAGAGCACAUGAGAUAAAACCCAUUUCUAAAACUCCGAAUACAACAAAGACAAAAUCUUUGCAAAGAAUUAAAAGAACCCAGAUACCAUUUUCAUCCAGGUAUUUUCCAAAACACGCAGAAACAAAAUAUAAAAAGAAGGAAGGAAAUCAGAAACAAAAAGAUAACUACUAUUUUUGAUUGGGGAAACCACGUGUCACAGCCAGGAAAACUCCGCAAGAAAAGAUUGGAAAAGGGAUAAGAACAGAAAGAAGAAGAUUUUACCUGAAUACAAGAGGUUGGAAACGGACCAAAAAUUUAUGAAAAAAGAACUUUCGGUGGGCAAUGAAUAACUGAAGAGUCCGAAUAUAAUGGGAUGAAAAGAUGGAAAUUGAUAAUAUUUGACAAGAACCCUUUUUGGGUAUUGCUUUUUUGGUUUCAAUGGAUGGCCUUUCCUGGGAAGUAUUUAUACAGGAAUGGGAGGGAGAGGGAGAAGCAGAGAACAGAGCAGCCUAACCAACUCAAACUCGGGGGAGUGGGCUCAGGCCAGGGGGCGUGGAAAGAAUAUGAGAGAGAGAAAGGAGAGAGAGAGAUAGAUGGCACGUGGAAUUGACUUUUGACGACAUCGAUUAACUUCUCCUAUACUCACGAGUACUAUGGUCUGAAUUUUUUUUUUACUUUGGUCAUUUUAUUUUCUAGUCUUCUUUGUUUUUUAAUUGCUCAUUAGUUUUUAGCCAAUUGCUAUUUUCUAAGGAAAAAUUUUAAUAUUUUUUGUGAACAAAUUUUUUAAUUACUAUGUUAUCUUACAUGCAUCAAAUUGUUAUGAUACAUUUUUUUCAAAUGGGAAAUGCACUUGCUGUGUGCAAAUUAAGGAAAAUUCUGGUAAAAAAAAAAACAAGGAUGAUUUUUUUUUUUUUUUUUUUUUGGUAAGCUACUAUAUUUGAUAGGCUUGAUAUAAACAAUAUUCAGCUAGAAACUAGCAAAAAUACCAAAAAAAGAAAAGGAAAAAAUUUAGCACCAAAAUUUCCUAAAUCUUGCAUUAUAGUAAUUGUUUAUGAAAUAGGUAAUGUUUUUUUAUAGUUUUUUGGUUUGGUUCCAUCCAUCCUAUAACAAUUGUGCUAAUUAGCCAUGCAACAGUUUCUCAUUUCUGGUUCUGCAAUUCCAGUGAUGAAUCACUGAAUUGGAAAGGUGAAAAAAAAAAGAAAAGAAAAAGAGUUUUACACUCUCCAUCUCAUGUUUAUGCCAGUUAAGUAAUAUUAAGAAAUUAAAAUAUCUAUAAAUCAAUGAAUAUUUUUUGGCUAAUAUCUAGCUUAUAGAAUGAGAUACAAGAGAAUUAUGAAAUGAGUUUUGGAUAGUAGAUUAUUUUGGAUAAUUUUUUGAAAAAAAAAAAUACUAGUAUAUCACUUUUUUAUGUGAUGUAUGUGAGAUACAAAAGUCGUUUAAAAAAUAUGUCGAUAAUGUAAGCAAAUACAUUUUGACAAAUAAUUCACUAUCCAAACAUACGUAAUUCUUCAACUAUAAUUAUUUAUCACAAGGAAGCUUCUAAGAAAUUGUGCUAAAUAAGCAACCUUUUUUUAUUAUUUUAAGUAAGACCAUUUCUAUGUGGAAAGUAACCUCCAAAAAAUUUUUGUGUUUGGAUUGCAUUUUCCGUGAUUUUUCAUGGAAAAAUUACUGUAGUGAUUUGAUGUAUGUGAGGGAAAAAGGUAAUAGGGAAAUGUGAUCACGGAAAACGACGUAAUUUUUUGACGGAAACCGGCAAUCCAAACAGCAUUCCAAAUUAAUCGGUUCAAACACUUCAAAAUCAACAAACUGAAGUUCGGAUUGACCCUCUACUUCCAACUAAUUUCUUUCUCUGUUUUUUUUUUCAAAGUUUCUAAUAUCUAAGAUAUAAUUUCUUAUCCUUGUUAUUAACCUAGUAAGUUCCCAUCUUCAAUUAAAAUAUCCUUCUUCAAUAAAAGAUAGACACAUAUUCAUGUACAUAGAUACUUGACAGAUUGCAAUAAUUGCAUACGAGUAGGCUGACCUAAACGUUUACCUUCCCACUGAAAUUUCUAGGGAGAUAUAUAAAGUAGAGACCAUUAAGUUUUAUUGCUUCUACUCGUAACCCUUACCACUUGUAGUUUUUUUUUUUUUGGGACAAUAGAAUUCCACAUAUUGCACUAAUGAAUUUAUCGAUUUAUAUAUGUUUUUUAGUUUUUUAAUUUGGUGUAACAUAUUUUUUGACGUGGGUUUGGAUACGUAUUUUUUUUAAUGUAAAUACAUCACAAAGAGUGUUAUAAUAAUUAUUUUAAAAAAUAUUUCAAAUGAUACUUAGUAUAUGACCUAUUUAUACACACUAAUCAGAUUUGAAUACAUUGGUAUUUGGACGGGGAUUAUAACGAAUUUCUUUUUUCAAACAGGGUAAAAAGAAAUGAUGUCAUGUCUUAAAUCCAAAACUAUAUGAUUGAAGAAGAAGAAAAGACCAUUCAUGAACUUGGACCAUUUAGAUGCUUUUCAGUUGAGCUAAAUGCCUUAAAAGUCUAAAGACUCAUCAAAGCUUGACCAAAUCCUCGUUCGACAUCAAACUUUCACCUUCAAGGAUUUGAAAAAGCGAAAGAAAGAAGUUGCGUCUAGGUUAAAAGUUAACUCGAGGACAACAAAACUCAUCAAAAACUUUUAAUUUGGAAUGGGUUAAAUCCACACCUUUUCGAUCAAAAUUCACACCCUUAAUGGAUUAAUAAUUUUUACCAUAUGCAUUGAUAAACUUAAAUCAUUAAUAUUAAAUAUUGUACUAGGUGUAGAUUUAAAUGAAGGGUUUUAAUUAGAUUCAGAGCCCCUUUGAAUUGUUAUUUUUUGGAAUUUUUAUAAAAAAAUAUAUAUUGUAACGAUUUGGCAUGCAUAAGGACAAAGAAAUAAAAUUAAAAAAUGUGUUCAUAAAAAGUAUAAAAAAAAAAUUUUUAAAGAAAAAUUUACAAUUCAAACGAGGCCUUUGUCCCUCCCAAAAACUUUCACCACCAAGUCUUUUUUCUUUUUUCAAAGUAAACCGUCCGAAUCAUAGAAUCAAGAAAACCUAGUACGUAAGCUCCCACAUCACUCGACGUGACCAUCACUAGACACUCUAAUUGAUUUAGUAACUUUCUGUUGCAAUUUCCAAGUUUUAGCGUCCCAAGUAAAAGGCAGCAUAGCUUGAGGGCCAAGCUUUACAUUUAACCCCAGUCAUAUGCAAUUCAGCUGAAGAAAAUUCCUAGGAAAUUAAGAGAAGGUUAGACUUUAGGACCACGACAUAUAAAAUAGUUGUGUUGUGCUGUAUUAAUCAGUUUUGAUGAUGUAUUUGCUUAUGUUUUGUGGUGAUGGAUGAUAGGUAUUUAGUUGGUGAUAUGUUUGGACCAGGGGCAGGAACGUUUGCAAGAGCAACCGUUUCUGAAGGUUAUGUGCAUUUUGCAUACGGCGUAACUUUGUUUACACAUAAUGUAACUUACUUUAAACAACGUGUAAUUUUAGAAUAAAAUUUUGUGGAUUCCACGCAUGUUGUUAAGAACGAGGUACAAGAUGAGAUUUGAAUUGUACAAUUUUUUUUGACCAAAUCUUGGCUGUGAACUGUCAGGAACGAUUGCAUCCUGCCCCUCUUCCGAUAUGUUUGCUGUGUUUUUAGCGCACGAAAUGAAAGAGACAGCUCCAAACUAACAUUGAAGUUUCCAUGCAUUCUAAUGGAUGACCUCACUUGGCCACACCCUAUGAUGAUGAUCCCAUCAAAUUAAGAAAGAAUUGUAUGAUUUGCCAUUCACUACACAAGUUGUGUUUUAGAUAAGCCUAAAAAUUAAGGGAGAGAUAUUAUAUGGUGAAGGAAACUAAUACAAAUGUACACUAUGUAAAUUGUAAGGUAGACAAAAAAAAGUACGAAAUAAUUCGUAUUACAAACACUGCAAAUCAAUUAGUACGUUGACUGAAUAAAUUGUGUGUUGUUAAAUUUCGAGCACGACCGUAUUUGGAGUGCCAUUUUUCUCUAAAAAAAUUUUACAUUUUUGGUGAAUACAUUUUAUAUUCAUUUUUAUAUCUUACAUAUAUCAAAUCGUUACGGUAUAUCUUUCUAUAAAAAACUCUAGAAAAUUACAAUUCAAACGGGCUCUUGAAUGUAACUAUUAUGUGUAAGUCACACAUUCAUUCUCAAGUUUCAAUUUGUAAGUUUUGAUGGAUAAAUAUAACGUUUCGUGGGAUUUAAAUUCACUUCUUUUUUCAUUUCUGCCAUGUUUACAAAAAAAAAGUUAUUUUAACUUUUCAUCAUUCUAUUUCCUUCACUUGUGUCCAUAUAAAACUCUCAAACAAAAAGGAUUUGUAUCAAUUUCUCUUUCUGAUCUCCUCUUAUCCUUGUUUUCAUCCAUCCAAACAGACUAGCAGUGAAAUGUAAGUUCAUACAUAUAUAUAGAGGUGUCAAAAUGGGUGAUUUGGGCGGGUUUGAGUUGGGUAAAAUGGUAAUGGGUAUAAGUGAGUCAACUCAUUUAUAUCCAUUUAAUUAGAUGGGUAUAAAUGGGUAAGUUAAAAAAUGAAUUGGGUAACCCAAUUAUCCAUUUAUAACCCAUUUAUUUUAACUUUUUGUAAACUUAUUUAAAUUCAUUUUUGCAGACUAAGUUAUCAAUUUAUACCACUCUUUGCACCCAUCAUUAGUUUUAAAUAUUUACUUAUAAUGUUCAAUAAGCCUAAUUAUCAAUUUUUUUCCUAUCCGUACUCUAUGUCACAAAAUUACAUACUAUUUAAUAAUUGAAUAAUAAGAAUAUAAAAAUUUAAAUUAAGUACUAUAAAAAUUAACAUAAAAACUUAAUCCAAAAAUUUUGAACCCCUAAUAUUUUUUUCAUGUGUAAAUUUAAAAUUUCAUUUUGGAAAGGUAGGAAAAGAGGCUAAAACUUAUCAUUAAUUGGUAAUGCUAAAAAAUGAGUAAGUUAACAAAUUAAGAGAAAAUAAAAUAAUAAAAUAAAACCAACAAAUAAUAAUAAUAAUGAAACAAACGUAGUUAACAUCAUAACAAAAUGAAAAAUCUGAAAAAAAUGGGCAGGGAAAGAGAAGAGAUUUGGAGGAAACCAAUUCUAAAUGGAUUAAUUGGGUUUGAUGGGUUAUCCAAUAAUACCCAUUUAUUAAAUGAGUAUUAUUGAGUAAUCCAUUUAUACCCGUAUGUAAAACUUUAAGAUACACAUACUCAUCUAUUCAUAGACAGUUAUGAAUAAAUUUAAUUAAAUGGGUUGAUUUGCCACCUAUACUUAUAUAUGACACCUAAAUAAUGCCCGACUCUGUUUAUUUAAUCUAAUUCACCAUGCACGACUGGCAGACCAAUACUGUACAAAUUAAAAAAAAAAAAGAUUUUCUAGUUUUAGCCCAAGUGUCAUUUCUUUCCGGUUUGUAUGCGACCUGCCCAAGAAAGUGAUAGCUCCAUGUAGGGGUGUAAUCAACAUGAAAAGGGCACCUCCAAUGUGUGGCUACCAACUCAUUAAACAGAUGUGCUGUGAAGUUUCAACACAUUGACGAGUAUUAUAUGAUAGUUUUUUUUUUUUUUCCUUAAAAUCCUAUUCUAUCACAAGAAGGGGUCUUGGGAAAGGGGAUGGUGAGGGAGAGGGAAUGCCUCCUGCUGCUAUUUCUAUGGUGUAUCUGUCUACUACUACUGUUCUUUAGCAGAAUUGAGAUGAUUUGAGAUAAUUCAAUUAUUUUUUUAUUUCACAUACAUCAUAUCACAAAAAGUACUAUAAUAAUUAUCUCAAAUAAAUCAUCCAAAUAAACUCUUAUCCAAACAAACUCGAUAUUGGUAAGGUUUGAAUCCCAACCAACACCUUAGGUUCAGUUUGGAUUACAAAUUUCUGGAGUUUUUAUAGAAAAUAUACUGUAGUGAUUUGAUAUGUACGAGAUAAAAUGAUAAUUGAAUAAUGUAUUUAUAGAAAAUACAGAAUUUUUUUUUUUGUUGUGAAAAAUAGCUUUCCAAACAAGGUUAAGUUUCCCUAGUGGCCACUGGACCCUAGUGGUUAAGUAUUAUAUGGUUGCUAAGGAACAAGACAGAUCUCGACCACAACCAACGCAUUUGCUCACGCCAGGCAGACAAAAAUUCAAAAUACAACAUGAAAGAAUACAAGUUAAAAAAAGGCCAAAAAAGAAAAAAAAGAAGAGGAAAGUGACAAUAGAAUUUAGAAAAGGUCCAAAUCUGAUUAUCUAAGCAAAAAGUUGUAUGUAUGUGGCGAAGUGUAUCUUUUCAACCAGUUCAAAGGGAGGGUACCCAGAUGUUCUUAUUCUAUGGCCUCCAGAUAAUGUAAAAUGAGCAACUAAUGGAGUUGAAUUUAACCUAAGCAGCCAUGCACAACCCAGUCUAAUAUUGAAUUCAAACUUCUUUUCAAGUUGAACCAAAAUAGCUGCUCCUUUUCAAUACAAGAAUGGUUCGUUCAAUCAAGGGAUGCUGAGGCCAGCUCUUUGUUCAGCGACUUUUGGCAGUCCACAUCUUCUUCUUUCAUUCUUUUUCCCUAAAAAGCAAAAAAGUAUAAAAGUUCAACGUCCAUUUUCCAAAUUAUUGGCUUUUUUUUUUAUGGCAAAUCAAAACCUUUCCGUUUUCAGAUAUUUGCUGACCAUGUAUAGAGAUGUUUUUUUUUUCCUUUCUUUUAGGACUUCUGAAUUCUGUUCAACCCCUUCCCCUCCAAAAAAAACAAAAGAAAAUCAAUCCCACUUUUUUCAACGUUCAUGCCGGUAAAAGAGGAAAGAAUGGUGAUUAUCCAGCCAUCUAUCUAUAAUAAAAGGACCAUUAUUUUUUCUGCAAACAAUUCUUACCACUUUUUAGGAUUUCUGAACUCGAGUUCUAUGCAAUGUAUACAUGGACAAUUUUUUUUACUCAUUUCGGCUAAACUAGGUAUGACUCAUCCAACUAGCUAGUUUCAAGAAAUCGUUCCCAUGCACAUAAGCCACUAGUUUGCAAUAUUUCAUUGGAAUACAAUUGAUUUCUUUUUUUUUUUUUUGUUCUUUAAGGAUAAUAUUUAUGUGGUCAAGUUCCAAGUGGCAUAUAUAUAUAUAUAUAUAUAUAUAUAUAUAUAUAUAUAUAUAUACUCCCUCCCUUCUUGUUUAACUGACGUUUAAGAAAUUUGCUCUAGUGUACUUUUAUCUGUCGCUUUAUUAUCCCCAUACAGUAUUAAUUAUUUUUUCACAAUUUUACCCUUUUAUCUCUCUUUUCCAAUACAGGGUUCUUAAUUACCCUUUUAGUUUGGUGGGAGUUAGUUUGCAUUGCUUUUGACCUAGUAAAACAGCACCAUUUAGUACUCUAGUGAGAGAAAAUAUGGGUGAAUUGGACAAUUAAUGAGAGUACAAAAGGAAAGUAGUGUACAGAUUUAAGCAAUGAAAAACUUUUCUUAAUUGGUGUGUAAAACUUUAAACGUCAGUUAUAAAAAAAGGGAGGAAGUAUAUAUGACCAUAAAUCUUGAGUGUGAACAUUGAGUCAUUUGCUAAUCAUUACACUUCAAAUACACCUUAAAAGCUGACAUGCCCAAUUUAAUAAAAGUUGUAAUUAUUAAUUAAUAAAACCUAAGAAAGCAUCGUUGGCUUCAAAAAAAAGUUCAUUGUAACGCGUUUCUAUAAACAAAACAACAAAUUGUUUUUUUGUUGAAGUUUGAAACUCAACCCUAAGCAUGUGUCUAAAGUAGUAGUAGUGUACCUAUGCUAUAGUACACAUUUAAUAUGAAUCUCACAUUAGAGUAGUAUCAAUUGAUAAUUAAUUGACCUUGUAUUCCAUGCAGAUGGAUAUAUAAACAAAUUCAUGAUACAGCAACUUUUUGACAAAUCUUAGGUUAUUCAACCUUUUGUAUAGCAGUAAAUAGGUAAAGACCACUUGCUUUCCGCCAAAAAAUAAAAAACCCUUUUGGUUGAAGGAAUAUUCACAGAUCUUGUUUAGUUUACACUGGAAAUAAUUAAAAUUGUAGACAAGUAAAUGUAAAUUCUUGCCACAAGACUCUAGCUGGCUUCAAUGUGGUGCCCUUAAUUAGGCAAGGUCCUUAAAUUGGAUUAGUCAUUGAGGUUAGACACCACGACGCAGGUAAACACUUCAUUAAACUUUUCAUCAAUACUUAAGGUCAGAAAAUCAUUAGGCUGGGUGGUAAAGUGAGAGGGAUCAUAAAUAAAAGAUUCUGAAUUUAAAACCUUCCGCCUAAAAAAAAUAUUAUGCCGUGCAAAUUUAGAAUUUUGCUAAAUCAUGACAUGGCUAAUAGUUAAAAUCCUACACCAAAAAGCCCUAUUUCAUAUUUUGCUCCCCUCAUAUUAUAUAUAACCAACGUGAUGUCAUGUUAAUUUGCCUUUUCACACAAGAGAAUAUUCACGAGCCCCUCCUCCUUAGUUUAAGAUAUUUCAUUAAAGAUCCGCAGUUUUGCAUAAUUCCUGUACUAAUUUUCGGCCUCUUGGUCUCGUUUGCACUAAAUAUAUAGUCACGGAAAUGGGGCAGGAGCGGUCAUCAGCUGUUAAUAGCCAUGAUUUGACCUCAACAAAUUGUGCGGUCCAGAUCACAAGUUGUAUAUCAAUUUUCAUACCAUGUGUGGGAUCCACAAAAUUUUGUACUAAAGUUACACGUACAAACAAAAUUACGCUGUGUGCAAUCAAAGUUACGCACUGUUGAAAAUGAUCAAAACCGUUGGAGAGAUGCAACCGUCCGUACUCCUUGUCCGUAUAGUCACCUGCCUGGCGCUGCAGCUGCAACUCUGCAAAGUCAAACCAACAAAAACCGGGCGUUUUUGAGGCCUGCAAUGUCUCUUAAUUUCCACAGGCCGAGAAAUCAAGAAUCAAGAGAAUAGAAUAAAUGUUUGAAGCCCCCAAAAACAAAAAAAAAAUUAAAGAAAUCGAAGAAAAUCAGACAUUGUGUGAUUACAUCGUCAUGUCCAACUGUCACAUUUCAGAUCUCCAUGCAAUAAGCUGCAAAACCAACCAACUUUUUUUUUGGUACUUUGUACUGUACGGCCCAGUGAUUAGUCUCUUACAGUCCACGUGUCAUCAGGGAAUUCGACCACGUUGCCAUGUUGGUUGUAAGAGGGACAAUUUCUUCCAAUAUUUUGGGCAUUGGACAACUCUACCUCUUCGUACAUUCACGUUGUUGGUUCCUAACAUUAGCUGCCUUUCACGUAAUCUUCACAUAGAUUCAGCUCACGAAAAUUAUUAUUAGAGAUUAAAUGCUUCUGCGAUAUGUUCCUAAUUGAUUUGCCUGGAAAUUAAACAACAGGUAUUAUGAGCCUCUUAAGAUAUGCCAGACUAGCAAAUUUUUGGAUAGCAAAACUUGAUUGAUUUAGUUAUAUGUAUGUAUGUAUAACUAAUAGGAUUAAUUUUCUAUGUACUGAUAGUAUGUACACUUUCACUAUUAGAUGUAUGAAAUAUAAUCUGAAUUUGAAUUUAAAACCUAAAUUUUGCAUAUGUUUAAUGCAUUCAAUCGUGACAGUAUAUACACUGUCAGUGUAUAUAAAUUUACUCUAACUAAUAUCUCUUUUUCUUCUUUUUUCUUUUCCUCAUCCUAUAAUAAGGGGUUCAAAUUUAAGUGAUCAUAAUAUAUAUAUUUUCACAACUUUCUGCUCCUGUGAAAGUUAGCCCAAAAAGGAAAAAUUACUAGUGAAUCAAUUCAAAAAUGUUUAUAUAGGAGUGUUAGGGGACAUCUUCAGCAUUUUACAAAUGUUUCAACUUUUUUGUGGUUUUGAAGCGUCAUUACCAAUGUUUUGCCUGCCAUAUUGAUCAUAGUAAUCCAAGAUCCAAAUAAUCCCAUCAUAAUCCACUUUUAGGCAAAACAACUAUUAAUUAAAUAGCUUAAUUAUUGCCACAUUAAUUAGCUGAUAUUAUAUAGUAUAUGAGUAACUUUUUGAGAAAAGAUUUCAACCACUCUAAUGGCAUCUUAGAUUGAUCCAUAUCUUAAUCAUCACACCAGUAUCCAAUUUGAAGAGUCAUGAUCUCUCCUAGUAUAUAUGAAGUGGAAAGAUGGAUCUUACAUUAGGUGACUAGCAUAAAACCAGUAAAGAAAACCCUACAAAUAAAUAGAUAGGUAUGAUUAACAUAUUAUUUUCUUUUUCCCUUUUCAAUUGUUGGGAGGUGUGGAUGAGCUCAAAGGGUGGCCGCCGGAGAGUAGGGGAGCAAUGCAGGCCUCCAACCUCCAAUCCAAGGAUAUGCAGCAAACCAAAGUCGGAGAGAAGUUAAAAGUACUAUAUUUUUUUCUAGAAAAAGCGUCAAAAGUGGGAACUUAAAAAAGCAUUAUUGGCAACUAAAAAUAGCUAGGUGUUUUAGGUAAAUGAAUCUGGAGCAGAAGCAGCAGCAGCAAUUUCAUCAAAACGCGGUUCGAUCGUCGCAUGUCUGCAGUUGUAGUUGCCCUUUCACCGACGAGAGUGUGCAGCCAUGAGCCAGCUAAUAAGAAAGAUAGGUAUCUUGCACCUUGAUUCUGCUACUGGAUUUUAGUAUAGUAUUGCUGAAGUUGGGACUUCGGGAGUUGAAGAGUAAUGAGUACUAGAACGACCAACCAACCAACCAAAGUCAGAGACAUCAGUCUCCACUUUCCUUUUUCCUCCCACAAUUGUCUACAUUGACUUUGAUGGAUCAAAUUAUUCUGCCGUGACUCGCACCUUACCACUUAAUUGUGGCGGUUUCCGACGGAUUUUUCGUCAGUUAGGUCCUCCUCUCCCUCUCCCUCUCUCUCCCCUUACAUUAGGUUAGAAUAGGUUAUACUAAUAUUAUCGUUGCACAGAAAAAAAGAUCAAACUCUUCUACCGUUUUAGUACAACUACCUAGUUCCUACCAUUUUUCUGUCAAUUUUGUCAACCCCAAAAAGGAUAGGAGGAAUACUUCUUUGUAUUUUUGUUCAAAGGAAGGAAAAAUUAAGACAAUUGAACUCAGAGAGAGAGAGACUACAACUUGGAAUUAGUAAAACUUUAGUGAUGUUCUUUAAUUUAUGCCAAAUGUCAAAACUUGCACUUGAUGCACUCUUCAUCAAAUCCUAAAACGCGGAAGGUGAAUUUUAUAUUUUAGACUUCAUACACAGAAACCGUAUUGUUAAAUUCUUGAGAGUAACAACUAUAUUUGUACUCUAGGGCUUGGUCAAGAAAAUCUUGUCAGAAUCUUGUUCACUUCUGAGGAUCCUCUAAGCUUUUUGUAAGUAGAGUUUGAUUCGGUCGGAUUAUCAAUUGGUUUCCUUUGUGUGUUUAAUUAUGUUUUGGUUAGUAAUUGAUUUAAAAAUAAUUUUGCCAUUACAGUCUAAUUCAUUCAUGUAGUUUUAUGUCUAUAUUAAGGUCUUAACCAACUUAUGAACCAAACCCAACUUUCCCUCGACUGGACUCCUCUGGACUCAACUUAAUUUUAAUAUAGUUAACGCACCCUAAACGUCAAUUACUUUAUUCACGUUAGAAGUACGUAAUCCAUCAUUAUCAAUAAAAUUUUCUGCCUAAAAAAUAAAAGAGAAUUAAAGCUGAUUUGACUCCAUCAGCUUAGCGUGCAGAGACAUCUUUGAAGCUUAUUUUCUGCCAACUUAGGCCGCCCUGUUUGAUAACCCGGUUCAGCAUUUAAAAUUAAUGGAUUCAGAUUUUAACAUAUUCAAACCGUUUGAUAAUGAAAAAUUGAACAUCUGAAUUAGUUAGGUAACACUGAAUUUUACAGGCAAAACUUGCUUUCAAAAUUAAGUGAUAAACUAUUUUCACUUAUCACUGCAUGUGAUAUGCACUCAAAUGUAUUAGAUUUACUACUUAACAAUUCAAUAAUUUAAUGAAUUCAUAUUUCAGAUUUCAGAUUUUAAACUUCAAUUUUAUAAACGCACCUUAGUGCGAAUCCCUAAAUUCCAAAAGUUUACGUCAUAGUAACAAAAGUGGGCAUUUGAGUUAGCUUCAUGCAUGAACUAGAACAACAUUUCGAGGGACCCAAGCCUCCAGCGUAGCCAUGACCAAUAACAAUCAAGAAUGAAAUCUUACAACUCUUUUACCAGAGUAGAGUCAACAUCAUCGUCCUAUUCCUCUAUAUAUAUGUGAGAGGUAUAUGGCCCCAUGACACCAAAAUUUCUAUGUAAGGUGGAAAAUGAGGCACCAAAUAAUGCUAAGUUAUUACCAGUGUUAAUGCUCACGCGUGACGACCAUCCUAUUCCCAAAUUCCUGUCAAACUAGAAAAAAAAAAAAAGUGCAGCAUUUAUCUUUGAUUGGUCGGUCUACACAAGGGGCCCGUUGACCUUUUCGAUCCCAUUUCUUGAUUCUCUUCUCCCACACGAAGGAAGGAAAACACACGCACACAGAGGCACGCACACUGAAGGUGUAGGGUGUUGACUGGGACAGAAUUAAAUAAAUCUUGUCAAACAAGUAUGAAACAUAUAGUAGUAGUAUUAAUUAGUCCAAAUACAGCAAAGCAGAAGCAAAGGGGAGCUUGUCGGUUAAGCAAUUCUUGGUCAAUGCAAUUACCUCCAAUUGACAGACUUCAGAAAUUUGACAAUAUUUUCUUUGCAAGAAAGCAGAAACUGUCAAGGUUCUUGACGUCAAAAGCUUUUUUUUCACACUCUUUUACUUUUUCCUACUUGCUGUUUUUGCCUUUUUUUUUGGCGGUUUUGCUUCCCGACGCGACGCGUUUUCAAGGUUUGGAUUGGGUAGAGGCCCAGAGAGCCAGACCUCCAAGGUAACAAGACCCAAAUUCCGUAAAUUUGUCGGAUGUCAUAGCGCCAGGCCUGCUUGAGUAUUCACUUGUACUAUUAAAGGAGUAAUUACAUCCAAGAAAUUUCUUACCUGUAUUUUUCGUCCAAAAUUUUCUGAAAUAUUCAAAGUAGUUUAGUUUACACCGAAUUCGCAAUAGUUUAAUUGAAUCCAUCCCCAUUUCCCCUUUCCCUCCCUCCCCCACAAAAAAGCCUAAAAUAUUUUGUUGAAUUUUCUGAAAUAUUUUCGAAAGCAGUUUAACUUCCACCGAGUUCUCAAUAUAGUUUAAUUGGAUCCAUCCCCAUCCCCAUCCUCAUCCCUCCCCCAAAAAAAGCUUCAAAAACUUUAUCCAUAGGGUUUGUUUAGAUGUCUCAUUUUUUCAAAUAAUAUUUCGCUUGCAUCGUAAACAUAUAUUUCAACCUACUUUUAUAUUCUCAAUCACCUUUUUAUCUCAUAUACAUCACAUCAUAAAAAAUGUUACAAUAAUAAUUCUAAAUAAUAUCUCAAAUAAUCUCCCAUCCAAACGCAUUAUGAUACUAUUAUUUAGUGGUGAACAUAUUUUCUAGAAUUCCAUUAAAGUACCUUAUUCAGCAAUACAGAAAAUUAGCACUCAGAUACAUAUAAGCACAAGCACUAGUAAUAUAUAAAUAUAUGUAAUAUAUACAUAUAUAUAUAUAAGCACAAGCACUAGUAAUAUAUAUAUAUAUACGUAUAUAUUACAUAUAUAUAAGCACAAGCACUAGUAAUAUAUAUAUAUAUAUAUAUGUGUAUAUAGAUAUUUAUAUCAAUACCAGCCUCAGCAAAUACUCUAAUUUUAUACUUCAAAUACUCAUUUCUUGACUUGUGCUACUAGUCUACACAUGCCCAAAGUUACCCUCAUUGCAAUUUUCCCAUAUCCCAAUGCCAACCACCGCUCCAAACUCCAAACAAUUGCUCCCUAUUUUAGUGCCUCCACGAGCAUCAUGCCAAUUAUCCUUCCCAGUUGCUUCUCCCCUAGUUUUAAAGUUUGGUAUUCCCUUCCCCACCCUGUUCUAUCAUUAGGCUGUCAAGGAAUACUUAAUAUAAUUCAUGUUUAACGCAGCAAAUCUUAUUUGCAAAUACGAAGAUGAUACAUACAACCACUCUUCUCCUUUCUUCGAACUCUUGGCAUCGGAUAAGGAUUAAGGCUGGAUUUAACAACUUGCCAUGUGAGGUUCAAUGUCUAAUCACCAAACCUAAUCAGCUUUUUCAAGUAGGUUUAAGAAACCACAUGUUUUCCACUCCUGUUUCAGUAAAAGUCAAUGGCAUUGGAGUCUCCUCAUGCGGACAUUUCCAUAGCUGGAAAAAUUCUGCAAGUUGCUCCCCACAAGAAGCUCUCCCAUGAAUGGGAGGAUUUUGUACCAUGCUGAGGAGUUUGACUUUAAGCAAAUUCUCAUAGGAUGCCUCAUUUUUGACACCCUGUAGACUUCUAAUACCACAGAGUCAUAGCAGUGUGCUGAACUAGUAGUCAACCACCAAGUACAAAUCAAUAGAUUUUAAGUACUGGACCUGUACUGACAGCUACAAUUCAACAUGGACUAUACAUGUACAUAUUUAUAUGUAUACAAACAUGUAAACACACUAAAAAAUAGGGAGCAACCCUGUAAAAGUUAUGAACUGAAUACUUGUGAUUUUGCUAAAGGUAUAUGUGCACUUCAACUUUCUUUAAGGUUUUCUAUCAUACAGUCAAAGCCUAGGUGAUGAUUUGUUUAAAAAGAUGCAAAAGCCAGGAUGGCUCUGGGGAUAUUAUAAAAAGAACAAUUUGCACUAGUGUCCAAGCUAUUAUCCAGGGAUAGGUUAGUGUAAGCCAAUCUGGUUAGGAAGAAAACCACCUGCGCCUGCCAAAUUCAUAAACCACCCAUACCAUAAUGCUUGUUUACUUCAUUAUUAAACAUGAAUUGAUCAACCAGGGGGGUUAGACUAAAAGAAAUGGCAACUACAGACUUCUUGAUUCCUAUGGAUCAGCUUUUUAGCACCUGCUACCCUGUCUGGUACAUGGAAAUAUGUUCUUCCACAUCUUGAUUUCUACCGGCAUUAUCAGGAAAUGGCUAUUAUGGGCUUAUUCAGCACAAGAGAUUAGAGAACUUGCUGGGAAGGAGCCUUGACAGCAGAGCACUGAUUGGACUAUUUAAGCCUACUACCACAUAGCUCGUAUUGGCAAAUAAACUCAAAAAUAUUCAAUGUAGCCAAAUGAUACAGCAUCCUCUACUUGGAACAAAAAAUGCAACAAUGGCACAGGAAACUGGUUAGGGACUACAUUUUUUUUUUGUCAACAUGAUAGAUACCAUGCUACAACUACUCCUACGCUACACUAGGAGGAAGGGAGAGGACCUAAACAGGUCCAGGGGAACCCGCUUAGGGACUACAUGACUGCACAGAAUGGGUGGGAAAUUCACAUUCGAGUAGAGACAUUAAUAAUCCAAAUCAAACCUAGUCAACAAACCAGCAUCUGCACCAAAUCAACACCUUGCCUAAUGGAUUGAAUAUUCAAAAGAACUUCUAUUUGCCUCAUAAGAUGAGACUAGUUAUGAGGAUUGCCUGAAGAAUGCUAUAAAGAAAAUUGAUAAUGCUCCCAAAAAAAAAAAAGCAUCAAGGAGAAACCAUUUUGGCAAAUCAGUUGAACCUUUGAAGAUUUGCAACUGCUUGCAUUAAGACAUAACAUGUUCAACGAAUAGGUGGUCCUUCCACCCCCCCAAACAACACAACCAAAAAAAAAAAAAAAUCUCGGUCACUUUUACUUUGUCAUUAUUUUGUAAUCUCCAGGUCCAGGGACAGUUACAAGUCAUUUUAUCAUUCCUUUGGGUCUCUCAAUUUCCACUUUUAUUGGCUUCAUUUCUUAAGCUUGUUAUUUCCUGCAGGAGUUCCACUGCCGUUAGCACCCCUUUUAGUACUCCUUCAGCUAAUCUCUCAUUGUUUUUGCACACUAUACAACAUAUAUUAACAAGCACUAGUGGGUGGAAAAUUUGCAUCCUUUACAUCUAAAGUCUAAACUAAACUCACCCAGCACAGAAAAUCAAAUCUUCUAACACAAAACUCCGCAGAAAGAGAUAGACUUCAUUCUCCCCUUUUAGACAUCAAAAAAAUGGGAAAAGACAAGUACGGGAGUGGCAGAGAGCAUGAGCUAUUAAAUAGCCAUAUGUCAAGAGCAACUGUUCUAUUUUUCGACAAGUUUGCUCACAAUAGCAUUUUGGUUUCGAAGGGUUGUCUUCGACCAUUUUGCGUUGCUCUUUUUCCAUCAACAUUUAGGUAGAUUCCCUAAAUGCAGAUGGAGAAACCAAGGUAAAGAAAUAAAAAUGGCAUUAUCAGCACAAGCCAAUAUAAAGAAAACACAAAGAUGACAUCAGCCCACAGGCUACAGCAUCCUUAUGCUUCCUGACUAAUUGUUUGUAACAGAUACUAUUGAUGAACAAUUCAUGCCAGACACUACAGAUUUAAUUCUUGGGAAUUCGUGGAAGAAAGAUGGCACAAAAAGGACCAAAAGACAGGCACAUCUGGAGGAGGCACAUCCAUAAACUAGAACAUUAAGAUCCUCAGUCAUCAUAUCAUCAUAUUCAUAUGUUCUCUACAAUCAUAUUUCACACUAAACAGCAAGUUUAUUAUAAUAAUCCUGCAGACAUACCAAUAACAAAUCCCUAGUUAAGAUCAUUUCCGGAUUGAAAAAAGUUUAGUACUGUGACCAUUGGUGGAAGUAUUUUGUUCAAACCACAACCAUAUAUAUCAACUCGCUUCUCUUCCACUAAUCUCAGAUUGUAGAUUACCUUUCAAUAAAUACAUUUAGAACUCUGAUAAGAUAGUUUGAAAUGAAUUUAUGAAUGGUGCAUGCAUAUACACUAUGGGGUCUGAAGUUUGGAGUCCCUAAUCUGUAUAUUGUGGACUCCCAGAAACCAAACUAUCAAUUACUACAAAGAUUGCCCGCUCAUUAGAUCUAAUUAGUGUAUUGAUAUAUACAACCUAUCCAAUGUUUGAAAUACCACAGAAAUGUUGAAUCUCAGGUAGGCUAUCAAUACCACAAGAUCCAAACAGGGCACACACAUAAAACUACUAAACUUCCUUUAACUAUAAACCCUUAGACAUAAAGUUUUGAUGACAAACCAUGACCUUACAAGUUCAAUUUGCAAAUAGUAGGUCUAACCACCAAGCAGAACCAGAUACUCAAGUUUAAAUGAAGGACCUCCAUCAUAUUGAAUAAUCAGACUCAUCAGAAUCGCUUCUGUCUGGCUCUCCACCAGCUGUCCCAGCCUCAGGUACGUCAGGCUUCUCUGGAGGCUUAGGUUCCACCUUCUUACUUGCAUUACGAGCAUUUUCCUCGCCAUCUUCCUCAUGCUCAACGGCCUCAACAUGUAAGUUAGUCAAGGAAUAACAACAAUAAAAGUAUACACUAUGAAGAAAAUCUAUGUGAGGAAUGCACAGCUUCACAGUAUCCAUGAAAUUCCACAAUCCUCUCAAGUCACAACUGUAAAUAUCAAAAGAAGGCGGAAUUCUGAAUUCCUUCUUCAAUUGAUGCGCAUGACCUCCCUGCUACAUCUAACAGUGAAACGAACAAAACAAAGUAUGAGAUUGGACAAACAGCCAGAAGAAUGAAAAGUUAUCUUGACAAGUUAAGAUUCUAAUAUGCAAGUACAACAACAUGAUCAUCUGUGCCAGUAUGAACUAAAGAAAAUUUAAUAAGUCGCUCAAGUCUCAAUAAAUCCAUAAAAGCUGACUACUUCAAGUUCUGAAAGCCAGAAUAACUGGAAGGAUAUCAAUAUUCUCCGCUGUUCCACCAGCCAUAAUAUUCUGCAAAUCUUUCUCAGCACGCCGGACCAGCUCAGGCUGCAAAAUGACAGACAUGUAUCAUAACUAACUCAAAUAAAUACCAAUUUAAUAUUAGCACACGAUGUUUAACUUGUAUACCUACCCAUGCAGACAUGUCUACAGUUACAAAAUAUGUAAUAGACACUUCAUGCCUAUGAACAACACUACCUAGGGGCAUGGGAAAAGCCAUUACGUGGCACUAUCUUACAAAUUGUUUUUUCCCAUUGUAGGCUUUAAUCAACUGUUAUUGCUUACUCUUAGAGAAAUUUGAAAGGUAAGGUGAUGGCAUCAGAUGGAAAACUCAUGCGAUAGUCUCAUCUAUUUCUGUCCCUUUCUUACACCCAUUGCAGCCAUAAUGUAUCAUUGUUUGUGUCUCUGUCUUAGUUGUCCGCAUUUUUGUGUGGGUGUCACAGAGAGAGAGAGAGAGAGAGAGAGAGGGAGGAUACUGGAAGAAGAGGCAGUUCACAAGGCCACAUACAUUUAGAUCUGGUUCUCUGCGGAACCUUCGCCUUCGAGCAUCCCUCAUCGGAGGGGUAAGGCCAUGUCUGUACUCCACCUCAUCUGGAACACUGUCACCUUCCUCCUUCACCAUAAUCAUCUGCAAGACAUCACAAAUUUUACAAAAUUGAACUAGGAACUCUUCAGAUGCCAUGUAUGUUACAAAGCAAUAAUUGGCAAGCUGACAGCAUACUUGACCAAUGUCUGCACUUUUAAUCAGCACGCUAUCAUCAUAGGUUUUGUAUGACUCCACAAUGCCAGGUAAAUCCAAAAGAAAUGCAGGGAAGUGAUCGUUUCCUAUUGAAAAUGUGCCACUUCUCCCAUCCUCUACAAAAUAUCAAUCAAGCCCUCAAGAAGAAGAAUGAUGAAGAAAAUAAAAUUCAUGUCAACCAACUACGGAUUCAGGAGGACUUUUAAAUGGUGGCAGUGUAACAAACAAUAACAUGUACAACCAUAUUAACUCAUGAAAUUUCACAGAAAUUCGUUAACUUUUGUCCACCAAGUCUAAAGUGGUCCAAUUCUAAUUUUUCAUGCUGGGACAGUUGACAGAAAAUGUUCAUUCAGAUGCAAUUUCAUCUGUUACAUUCAGAAUCUUGAAUUUGUGUGAUUUCUUGGACUGACAUAUAAAUAAUGUUUCAACCUCAUUGUUCAUGAUUAGACAAAGUUGUGGAUUCACUUGAAUGCAUUUUAAACAUGUAUAACCCUCCGUGAAGUUGAAAGACAAUGAUUCAUCUCAUGAUAUCAAUCAACUCUGAAUUAACCUUAGGGGCUGAUUUGUUUCCAUCUGGGAGUCAAAAUUGGAUGGGAGUGAUAUACUAGAGAAUCUGCAUUGGUGUUAUCAAAGCCAACAAAGCAUUUGAUUGAAAAUUUAGGAAUUGGUUUGAAGUCUUUUUUUCCCCCUGAAAAGUUUCCUUUAUGACUCCUAUUUCUUAAUUCUUUUACCAUUUUUCUUCCUUGUCCCCUUUCCCAGUAGCAAUGACCAGUCUGCCUUCCCCUACUCCCCACAAGUAGUGCGAGACUACCACCAGCAACCACCACAGCUAUCUGAAGAGGCCAAUUGUACACAAUUCAACUCCUUUUUGUGAAAAACAAUCAAAGAGAAGUCAUUGAAAAUCAUAUAAAAGAGACUAACAAUAACACCAAGGGUGAAGCAUGCCUCUUCAACCUCCAUACUACACAAAAAAUAAACACCACUCAGCUCCCUAGACCUCCUACAUCCAUACAAUUUCCAAAAGACUACAAAAAAACUACAAACAAAUAAUCCAAGUCCCAAGAUUGAAUCACAACCCAUGCUAGAUCCACCGACAUCCAAAUAUAACAAAUUUAUUUGUAGAUAUCAAAAUGCUUCUUCCAUUACAUAAAUUGAGAAUCUACUGAACUGUUGCAUCUUUUCAAGAAAAAUAUCAAUGGCCACUACAGCAAUGUUACAACUAGUGAAGAGCCAUGACAAGCGAAAAACGAAGAGCCAUGACAAGCAGAAGAGGGGGAGGGAGAGAGAGAGAUUACAGGGGCUGUGGGCAUAAAGUGAGGAGUACAGAUGGAAAAAGGAUUUAUCUCACAGCCACAAGGAUGACGGAAAUUGGAAAAUGCUGUUUUUCUGACUACCUUUUGUAUUUUAUCCAUUUCUUUGUAAAAUUAGUCUUUCGACAUCAAGUAUGGGAAUAAUUUUGAAAUUGCCCCAUUUGCAUAUGUCCAGGAAAUGAAAGCAACAUACCAAUUCAGAUAAAAUCCUUCCAAGCACCAACAAUAUGCAUCAUUUAAAUAAAUACUUUCUAAUUGCUUGGCUCAUACUCCUUUACCAAAUGAACCUCAUAUCGGUAAUCUGAUUACAUUACUAUUCCAUCCUCCCAAUACUGUCCCAUAAAAACUGGUUGUGGGUUAAAGAUUUGCAUAUUUGUAACCAGAUUUUCAUUUUAACAUCUCUAACACAGAUGAGAUCUUCACUGAAAAGACAUGAAUCCUAUUUCAAUUGAACUGAGACUGUUUAUGGCAGUUUAAGUGGCACAUCAUGUGUAUUUGCUUUCCUGCUUCCCACUUUCCAAAAAGGUUCAGAAAAAAUGGUCAAGGGCACACUUCAAAUAUAAGAACAAGAUCCUAGAAGAACAGCCACCGCUCCAGAUCAGGUUACUAGUAAAUAAUUUAGUGUGGACCAUAUAAGUCUCUGUGUGUGUGUAGAGAGAGAGAGAGAGAGAGAGAGAGAGAGAGAGAAACGGAAAAGAUAUCAUGCAUCGUUCAAGACAAUCAGUGAGGCUAGGGAUAGAAGAAAAAGAAGCCUAGUUGCGCCUCAAUUUCUGAAGAGAAAGCGAUAUAACAGAGAACAGAGCCAAGAGUCAGAAGCAAUUGGUGGCCGGGUGAAUGUGCAGAGCAAGUUCCUUAAUCUCCUAACUACCAAAUUUUUCCAAAGAGUUAUAACUUGACACCAACAGGAACAGCAGCAAUUAAAAGAAGGUCCAACAAUAUCCUAACAUACAUUGCCUUUGCCAUUCUCUGAUUUUCUGUAACCUUAUCUACUAGGAUGCUCAAGGACACUGAUGAAAAAAAAGAAAUCACCAAAAGCUCAAACAACUAAAUUGGAAAGAUUCAUUAUACACAUUGUAUAAAGGACGACUAAACCAAGUUUGAGGUAGAUAAACAAUCCCUUUUGAAGAUACAAGUGGCAAAUAAGUGACCAUCUUUUAGAUUAAAAUGACUACUCAAAUCAUUGUUCAGCGAACCAAUCAACCACGCUGUGAGAUUCAAAAACAUGAAAAAAACCAAAUGAAAUAUACAUGCAGGUGUGAGUAAAUUAAACAGUGCCAACACUAACAUUGAUGAACAUCAGGGAACAAUAGAUCGAAAUAAAUUAUAAAACACUACAAAACGAAGGAACAAGCAGCUCAGCUGCACCAACAGAAGCAACAUCAGCAGCGAGCAGAAACUAUAAAAGCUCCAAAAGCAUGAUUGACAUGCCUUAAUCCGAACAAAGAAGAAUCAUAACAAUGUUCAGUAGAUGUUCUAUACAAACUAGUCAAACCAAAUAAUUAAAUUGCACUUAUUCCUAAUCAAAAUCCUUUCUUGACGCUUCUUAUAUAAACUCUUAAUUGAUGAACACAAAUUUAAGAAUAGAGAUGGUAAAACAAAAGUCGCUCACCGGAAAAGGUUAAAUCCAAUGACUUGUCAUCAGAAGACGAAGAUGCGUUUUCGGUUAAAAGCCGGUCUAUCCGUUCAGCUACCGAAGGUGGAAGCCGAAGUAUAAAUUGCUCUUCCAUGCCUGCAUACCCAACCAAAAAAAAGAAGAAGCAGCAGGAAAAAUCAACUGUCGCAAUUAUUCGAAUAGUUUAUUUUUGUGGCUCAUUGUUCUUGAUUUCUGCCACAGCAAAGAAAAGGGGAAAAAAAAGCAAGAAGAAUUAGUGUAAAAGAACUGGUAUCUGGAUUCAGGCACCCGUUGGUCAGUUACCUGCAGAGAAGGAUGGAGAAGAAAUUUGGAGGAGAGGUAUGAGAAUUUAGAGGAGCAAGUGAAAUUAGUAGUUCGUAUUUCUAAUUUGGAAUAAUAUCAUAAAUCUCCCCUGAGGUUUACCUUAAUAUCACUUAGCACCUCUAUAUGUUUAAAAGUAUCACUUACCUUUCUUACUUUUAAAGCUGUAAAUGAGUUGAGUCGAAUUGAAUAUCUUAAGUUUGAGCUUUAUUCGUUAAUCUAAGCGAACAAGGCUCAUAUUCAUUCGAUAGCGUCCGAGCUCUAAAUGUAUAUUCGUAUUCGACUCGUUAAGCAAAAUUCUAACUCAAAUUCGAGUUCGACCUUAACUCAUUUAUUAUAAACGUGCCAUUCGCGAACAAUUAGGCCCAUGUCCGCGGAUGAUUAAGCCUGGAAUUAGGAAUUAGGAAUACAAUAUGAACCAUAAAUUUUGUGAAAUGACAAUUAGACCCAGACUCGUUAGUGAUCAUUUAAAUUAGCGAAAGAAUUCCUGUUGUUUGAUUACUUAUCGAGCCAAAAUAUUUGUUUGAACUCAACUCAUAUAAAAUUUUCGAAUGAGUCAUUAUCGAACGAACAAGUCUAAACGAACCAAGAACGAGUCGAGCAUCUUAAGGAAAAAGCUAUCUCAAUUAUUUGAUUUGCCCUUUUUUUUUUUCUCUUUUUGGCUUAUCGCUCUUGAUUUCUAUCACAGAAAAAGAAAAAGAAAAAAAGAGCAAGAAGAAUUAGAUGUAAAAGAACUGGUAUCAAAAUUCAGGUACCCGUUGGUCAGUUACCUGCAGAGGAGGACGGAGAAGAAAUAUGGAGGCGGUGAAUCAGAAUUUAGAGGCUGCCAAAUUAGUAGUUUGCCUUUUUAAUUCUUUAAUUACAUGAAAUAACCAAACCAAUACUUGGCUAGGGAGAGGGGCAUUGUGGUCCGUGCACCUGUUCUUGAAUGAUGGGUCAUUUUACAAUGUGGUUUACCAUGCCGUAGAAAUAACAGUGUGACGAAAAAGAAAAAAAAAUCCAUGAGAUUUGUGAAUUGUGAUGUAGCACAUUGUAGGUUAUCUCCUUCAAUACAUUAUAAUUCACAGCAAACAAAAUCUACACUUUUAGAGAUGUUAUAUUCAGGUUUUGUUUUUCAUUUUUUUUAAGCGAGAGGACUUACAACCUGCAUGUGCUGGUACGGCUGUUCAGUGUAGUCUUCUUUUGCCUCUCUCACUUCUUCCCUAUGCAAAUGACCGAAAGGAUAAUUCCUCAAGACUUCUUGAAUUCCUCAAGACUUCUAACUUGCAACAUUUUUCAUCUUACCGUUCAGCAGAAAUGCAGAUAGCCAAAUUGCGGAAUAGAGAUGAUUGAGAGCCAUUGUUUGGAUACACAUUCGAAGCUCAGCAGAUCUUUUAUGGGUACCUUUACUAAUAUUUCCUGCAAAACAUCUUCAUUGUUGGUGAGUUCUUCGACUUGUGAACUGGAAUUAGGCAAUUCAUUAAAACCCUUAUCAGAAUAGCAGUCUUUGAGUUCAGGAACAAAAGCUGGAUGUGCUGGGUAGGAGUUGGAAUCAUCAGUAAAUGUGGAUUUUUCACCAGAAUCUGUUUUUUAAAUCAAUUUACAGAUGCACUAUUUGCAUUUUAUUCCUUUUUUUUUUUUUUGUUUCUGGGAUGAGGAAUUGAAUUCCACUGGCCACAUAUCAAAUGACAUGUUAUGCAAUCUUGUAGGAGCAGUCACAGUAAAAUAUGUAUCCUGAAUAAUAUGAAGAAGUACAAUUCUGUUCAUCUGAAGGAAGUCAAUACCAACAUUUGGAUACCAGAUAUUAAUACCAUGUAAAUGCAUAUAAAACUACCAACUCAAAUAAUCUGAAGAAGUUAAUACAAACAUCUCUUCAUUCUGUAUGAAAUUUAAAAAUUGUUGUUUCAACCCAAAAAUUAGCAGGAUGAAUUACUAAGGGUGUGAUUUGUUCAUCUUCAUUAGCUCUAGUAAGAGAAUGAUAUUUUCAAUGGGUUUUAAGUAUUUGUCAAAAAAGACCAAAGAUUUAAGAUCGUUUUGAGGAUCAAAAUAUUAAGGACAAUUUCAGUAAAAACUGAUUUAGUAGACUUCAAGGAAAUUAAAAAAAAAAAAAAACUGAAGAGCAACAGAGGACCUCAUCUUACAAUUUGGAUCUUUAACAGUUGCCAUUGCAAAGAAGUACAAAAUAACUAGCCAGCGGAGAACAAUUGGCGGUCAAGUUUUUUUGCCAAGUCUGUCUACUACGAGUUUUUUAAAAACUUUAGUUACAGUAACCUCAAAAAAAAUUUUAAAGUUUUUAAACUAUACGCUUUAAAAUAUUCAAAAAUUUAUACACUUCAAAAAUUUUUUAAAAAUUUCUACAGUAAAGUUUUAGACAAACACCAAAAAAAACUUACUUGUCAUAAAGUGGAAGUAUUCCAUUUUGUAUCCAAACCAACAUCUAUCUCAUCAUCUAUGAUUAAACAAUCUAAGCAUCCAAUAAUGAACAAUCUAAGUAUUCAUUAAAGAUCACGAAAAUUGAUCAUUUAACAGGUCAUGCCAGAGAAUGCACUAAGCCAGAAAAAUGAAGUAAGAAGGAAAAACUUGUCAUUUGCUGUAAGAAGGGAAAAACCAAAUAUUACAAUUAGCAUAUGCAAGAAAUGGCUAAUCUGCCAAUUAAUCCAAGGCUGUAAUUUAGGCUUUAAGUACCUCUUGAUGAUCGACCUCCUGCUUAUUAAGAAGUAUCUGAUUUUGUUCCCAGUUAUUUCAAUUAUCGUAAAUACAACCUUGAAUACCUCUGAUUUCCUCGACCAAAUGGGAAAUACUCCAAAUGGGAAUGAUAAACACAUGCAAACAAUAAACAGCCUUAAACCCAUAAAACUAAUUGAGCUACUUUGGAGAAGGCAGGAAGUACCCUGGGAGCUUGGCAAUCAGGAAGAAAGAAACGAAAAGAGAAGAAAUUCUUGAACACUGUGGAGGGUUGAAAAGGGACCUCUCUCUUGCUUGAAGAGCGCAAGAAGACUACGAGUUCGGCUCACUUUGUGGUUUGUUGAAGAUUUCAACGGACUCUUCAUUAAUGUUUAGUUGUUUACUGCAUUUCCUCCCCACAGCACUUUGUUAAAGCUACAAAUUGAAUAUUUAUGUUUGGAUUGAUACGGUUUUGUUUCGAAGUACAAAAAUGGUGGCAUGGGGCCUCACAAAAAAUUAAUUUGGAGCUGAGCGUUGUCCACGCUCAAUUGAGAUUCAAACAUUCAUUUAAGACAAGAAAUGAUUGUCGGCCCGGUGUCAUUCAUGUCUUCUCACACAAAGGAGGACAUAAAACUCUGUUUGUUUAAGAGAAAAUGGUGUAAGAAAGUAUGUCACGGGAAAAGUGAAAUGAGGUGAGUAAAGGAAAAGGAAACUACAAUUUUCUCAGAUGUGUUUGGCUAACGGGAAAAUAAUGCAAGAAAAUAUAAAUUCUUAUGUUUAUUUAGCUGAAAAGUCAAGAAGAAAUUGACUAAUGCGUUUGUUAAUAGAAAUAUUCAAUAUUGAACUUCUUCAUUUCUAGUAUUUAAUAUAUAUAUAUAUAUAUAUAUAUAUAUAUAUAUAUUAAAGUUGUUUAUCUCAAAAUUAAUCACAUUUUUUACUCACAGUGAGUAAAGGAAAAGGAAAUAAAAAUUUCCUCAGAUGUGUUUGGCUAAUGGGAAAAUAAUGUAAGAAAGUACAAAUUCUUAUGUUUAUUUAACUCAAAAGUCAAGAACAAAUUGACUAAUGCAUUUGUUAAUAGAAAUAUUCAAUAUUGAACUUCUUCAUUUCUAGUAUUUAAUAUAUAUAUAUAUAUAUAUAUAGACAUGCAACAAAUAAACUUUUUGCAUUGGAGAAGUUGUUUAUCUCAAAAUUAAUCACAUUCUUUACUCAUAAGUUUACACAGACACGCACAUACAUUAUAUAUGUGUAUAAGUUAUUUCACAAAUAUAUAGACAUAAAAAGGAACAUAAAAUAAAAAAAAAAUACAAAUGUCAUAAAAAUUCAACAAAUUGUUAAUUCAUUAAUUGUUAAAAUAACAAUAAAUGUUUAACUACAAGCUAAUUUUUUGAAUUGUAAAUUUUAAGAUAUUCUGAUUUAUGUAGAAGUUUAGAAUGGAGGAAAUAGUUAAGAAAGAAAGGAGUUGCAAAAGAAAUCUAUUUAAUUGAAACUUUCCCCUCACUCACUUUUUUUUUUUUUAUCAAUUUGAGCAGGAAAAAAUUUACAGAAAAAUGAAUGGUUACAAAAAAAAUUUAUGUAGUGGUGCCAUAAGUUUCCUGACAAAUAAACACACUCAAAACUUGUAGGAAAGUCAUUUUCCUUCCCUUUAUUCCUUGGCAAACAGACACUAUCUAAUCUAUUUCAUUGAAUGGGUCUAGGCAAGGGUAAAGUGGGAAAGAAACAACAAAUGACCCAACUUUUGCUACUAUACAUAAAAAGUACAAAUUCACAAUUUUGACAAAUAUUAUGGAACAAAGGGAGUAACUUUCAUGAUUUAUUGAGUGCCAUAACAAUUCUCUUUUUCCACAAUAGCAGUUCUAAAAUACACAUCCUAUUAUUUUGAAAUUUUUACACAAUAAAUAGCUAAGAUUUAAUGAGGUAUAUCAACAAUCAUUUUUACUUACAAUGUGGUUGACUGAGAAACGCAUAUGAGAAUAAAUGACUUGUAUUUGACACAAUUAGAUAUUAGUCAAAUAUAGGAUAAUCAAAUAUCAUCAUAGUGAUGAUGUUGGUAAGAUUUAUCUUAAGCUUAUUUUUAAUCUUAAUUCAUUCAUUUUGUUUUGGGUAAAAAACAAAAAAGCCCCCUGUGAUAAACCUAAUACACAGAAAAGCUCCCCAUGGUUUCAAAAUAUACAACACGACCCCUCGUGCUUUGAACUAAGUUGUAAAGGUGACGGAAUCCGUUAAACUUAACGGAAAUGAACUAAAUGACCAAAAUGCCCUGAUAUAAUAAAGCAAAAGACAACUCAAAAAAAUCAUUUGUUUAAUUCUCUAAUAAGAGAGAAUUGAGGGUUAAGGGGUAGAAUAGGUAUAUUGGAUAAAAAUUAGGUAUAAAAAUUUUUUUUUAGGUUCCAAUAAGUCAUUUCCGUUAAAUUUAACGGAUUCCGUCACCUUUAUAAUUUAGUUCAAAGUAUGAGGUUCCGUGUUGUAUAUUUUGAAACCAUAAGGGGCUUUUCUGUGUAUUAGCCUUAUCACAGGGGGUUUUUUUGUUUUUUACCCUUUUGUUUUCUUUCUUAUUCUUCCCAUCUCAUGUUUGAGAUAUGGUUUGUGGUAUCUCUAAUUAACUAACACAAGAAGUUAACCUUAAAUAUGCUAGAAAGGAAAUAAAAUUGUUUUUGAAUUAAAACCAUAAUUUCUCAAAUGAGAAUAGUUCAAAUUACAAAGGAACAAAUGCAUCAAUACAAACAUCUUUAGUAUACAUUUAUACUGAAAUUAGUCUAACACUCAAACUGAAGUUAUUCCUUUCUACUUUUUUUUCUACCCUUUUUUGCUCAUUUUAAGAAAAAAAAAUUAAGGGGUGUAAUAUGUUAAAUUUUAUAGUCCUUAAUUUAUUCUUUUUAAUAAGAAAUUUUUGAAAUCAUAAUUUGGUGUUUGAUCUAAUGAUUUAUUUUUUUAAACACCACAAAUAUGUUACUAGAAUUGUUUUAAAAUUUCACUAAUUUUCUAAAGUUCCAUAAAUGUUUAUCUAUUUUCAACACUAGCUCUCAUAACAUGACAUGUGGCUUAUCCUUUUAUUCUUUCAUAUUUCAAAACACAUUACAUGUAUAAUCCAGUCUUCCAUUUUAGUACAUUUAGCAUUAUAUUUUAGAGCAUUUAUUUAUCUCAAUAUGUUAAUGCAAAGCUUUUAAAUUGACCCAUGUUGAACCUCACAUUACCCCAAUCCUAAUGAAUUCAUUCAUCAUGAAAUAGCUGUAUUAUUUAACUCUUAACAAUCUCACAAAAUCGACUCGUGGAGUUGUUUGUGGGUUGGUCCAAAGAGCUCUUAUGUACAACAAUAAGGGGAGCUUUUAACUAUUCGCUGCAAGCAAUCAACUAAGAAGUCGUUGGAAGAAGACGAAGGAAUAGAGUUGAUGGUUAUCAAAAUUAAUGCAUUUGUCUAAUUUUGCUUUCGGAUUAGUCGACUUUGGAGCUCAUCUAGUUUGUACUAUUUAAUAAUAAUGGUAUUGUUGCUUUUAAUGAUCGAUCUACUUUGUUCUCAUAAAUAGCAUAGUAUUAUUGAUUUUUUGUUGUUGGUCAAAUAAAUAUCAUCAAUCUUAUGGUAGUUGAUUCUUCUAUUCUAUUCUUCAGGUAUGUCGUUGUAUGUUGGUCAAGGCGCCAACAUCUCUAGGCAUUGCACCUUCUGGUGCUCAAGAUGGUAGUCCGACUUGAUGGUGGCACAUUGAAUGCAUUGCUCUCCAAGAAGUUCCUGUGGAGGAAACUCUAAAGCUGUAUUUUUGAUAUGUUGCAGGGGAUGAGAUUGGAUGCAGGAGGACUAAUCCUGUCAAAAUUGGCAGGUAAGAAUUGAGGUCAGCCCUUCAGUCCAUAAGACUGUAGCUGUUGAAGACAAGAAGAAAUACAUGUUAGUUCAAAAAAUUGGAAAGUUGAAUUUAGAGGACCCAAAUUCAAUGAAUAGAGCACUAGUUUACUUGUCCAAACUCGUUGUGAUCUCCACAAUAUCCCCACAAAAUUGUGUCAUUGCUGGAGGUAUUGCUGGUGGUUUAGUCCAAAUAGAAGUUAUGUGUCAGGCUCGGAGAUUUAGCUGCCUGAGUUUUGGCUAGAAUCCAAAGGAAAUGAGCAGGAAUUGAGAUAGAGAAGAAGGAAGGGACGGAAGAGAGCGGGUAAUGAAAGAGAGAGAUAGAGAGAAUGAAUAACAGAAAGGAGAGAGAAGAAUAUUCAACUGGAAAUUUACUCAACAACCUUCAAUUACAAAAAGGGACUAUUUAUGCAAUUAUUUCUAACUAACUGCAGCUAAUGGAACAACUGUCAUUUAAGUCUAACGACAUAGUUUUCACCCUUUACUAACCAUACUCAAAACGCACACUCCACUGAAUAAAACGUCAACCUUCUUAUUGUGAAGUUCCUGACAAUACCUUCCCCUUAAACGAAGCUUGUCCUCAAGCUUGAAAUUCUGGAAACUGCUUGUCAAUUAAGCUCCUGUCCUCCUAAGAUGACUCUGAUUCUGGUAGAUCACUCCAUUUCACCAAAUAUUGAAUGAUUGGCUGAGUAUUGCACAUGAUAACUCGCCUCCUAAGAACCUUCUCAGGUUUCAGCAAGCAUUGAUCCGCUGCAUUUAUUUCUGGUAGAGUUGGUUCUACAGACUGCAUUGCAUGACUCCAAUCUUCUUUUUCAGCAAGGAAACGUGGAAUAUUGGAUGGAUUCUAGCCCCUUUUGGCAGUUUUAGUUUGUAAGCCACUGCCCCUACUUUCGCAAUGAUUUGGAAAGGUCCAAAAUACUUAGCAGCCAGCUUCAAAUUCUUGCGGAUAGCAACUGUUUGCUGCCUGUAAGGCUGUAGUUUAAGGAACACCCACUCCCCUUCCUGAAAAACCCUUUCAGUCCUAUGCUUGUCAGCAAUUUACUUCAUACGAUUCUGAGCUUUGGCCAGGUUCUCCUUGAUAAGGAAUAUAAUUUGUAGCCUUGACUGUACCAUGUCAGAUGCAACAGGUAUGAUACUGUCAUGAAAGGGUCCUAGAGGGAUAUGACUUGGUUUAUACCCAUAUAAGGCCUCAAAUGGUGUUAUUUGCAAGCUUGUAUGGAAGUUUGUGUUAUACCAAAGUUUAGCUGUAGGCAACCAACUGCUCCAAUGUGAAGGAUGUUCACUGCACAUGCACCUGAGAUAAUUCUCCAAGCACUGGUUAACUCGUUCACUUUGACCAUCUGACUGUGUAUGGUAUAAGGAACUGUAGUGUAGCCUUACUCCCAGCAAACUGAACAAUUCCUGCCAAAACUUACUGAUGAAGAUCCUAUCUCUAUCAGUUAUUAUUGAUUCUAGUAGACCAUGUAGCUUGUAUACAUUGUCGAGGAAAACCUGAGCUAUUUGUUGUGCUAAGUAGGGAUGAGUAAGCUUAAUGAAAUGGCUGAAUUUGGUUAACUGAUUCACCACCAUUAAGAUGGUGUCAAAUCUAUGGGACGAGGGAAGUUGUUCAAUAAAAUCCAUGGUUAGGUGUGACCAAGCUUGCUGAGGUACUGGAAUAGGCUACAACAACCCAGGAUAAGAGACAUUUUCAUGCUUGCUCCUCUGACACACAUCAUAGGACCUCACAUACUGGAUGACAUCCCUCCUGAUCCCAGGCCAGUAGAAUAAAGCCUGUACCUUUUGUAAGCAUUCUCUCUGGCCAGAAUGCCCUCCAAUUUCUAAGUCAUGCAAAGCUCGGAUUAAGUUGAUUCUAAUACCGUUAGCAGACCCCACGUAUAAUUUUUCCCUGAAUUUGAGCACUCCAUUUAAGAGCAACUCAGACAAUCUCUGUUGAGCUUCUUCAUCCCCAUUAUAGCUCUCAAGUAGUUCUUGCAUCCAAGCUAGUUGGACUGUAGAGAUGGUACAUGUCUAGUGCACCACUACAUUGCCAUUACUGACUUCUUCCAUUCUUCUUCUAGAGAAGGCAUCAGCUACUCCAUUGUCUGAUCCCUUCUUGUACUGUAUCUCAUAAUCUAGGCCAAGCAAUUUUGUAAGCCAUUUGUGCUGCAAUGGAUUUGUAAGCCUUUGCUCCAACAGGUGUUUGAGGGCCUGGUGAUCAGUUCUAAUAAUAAAAUGAUGGCCAACCAAGUAGUGCUUCCAUUUGGUUAUAGCCAACACUAGAGCAAACAGCUCUUUCUCAUACACUGACAGCCCAAGUUUCUGAGUUAACAAGGCUUUAUUGAGGAAAGCUAUGGGGUGCCCCAGCUGCAUCAGUACUACUUUAAUGCCUACUCCAUAGGCAUCAGUUUCAAUUACAAAAGGAAGCUCAAAGUUUGGCAUGCUCAGUACUGGGGCUGUAAUCAUAGCUCUUUUCAAAUCCUCAAAAGCCAUCUGAGCAUUAUGGUUCCACAUAAACCCCUCAUUUUUCAGCAGUUGGGUCAAGGGCUUACAGAUUAGUCCAUACCCCUUAAUGAACCUUCUGUAGUACCCAGUUAAACCCAAAAAUCCCCUCAAUUCCUUGAUUGUACUGGGGAAAGGCCAUGAUUUUAUACUCUCUACUUAGCUGAAUCCAUGCUUACUCCAGUCUCAGAAAUCACAUGCCCCAGGUAUUCUAUUGAAGUUUGGGCAAAAAAGCAUUUUGAUUUCUUACAGCACAGCUAGUUUUCAGCCAAAACUUUGAGCACUGUUUGCAGGUGUUGUGCAUGUGACUCUAAAUUUAGGCUAUAAAUCAAUAUAUCAUCAAAACAAAAAAAACUAAAACAAACUUCCUUAGAUAUGGCUGGAAUAUCUUGUUCAUCAGGGCUUGAAAAGUGGCAGGUGCAUUGGUCAGCCCAAAGGGCUUUAGUAGAAAUUCAAAAUGACCAUGAUGUGUCUGGAAAGCAGUUUUUGGUGUGUCCACUGCCUUAACUCUCAGUUGAUGAUAGCCAGCUCUAAGGUUUAGUUUGGACAUGUACUCGGCACCAUGCAACUCAUCUAGUAACUCAUCUAUAUUUGGUAUGGAAAAGCUGUUUUUCACAGUUAAAUCAUUCAAUUUCCUGUAGUCAAUGCAUAAUCUCCAGGAGUUGUCCUUCUUCCUAACUAAUAUCACAGGAGAGGCAAAGGGACUAGUGCUAUGUAUAAUGAUCCCAUUUGAAAGCAUUUUAGCAACCUGUUUUUCAAUUUCUGUUUUAUGGGAAUGGGGGUACCUGUAUGGUUUGAGUUUGAAGGGUUUAGCUUUUGGUUUAAGAACAAUCUGGUAAUCCAGCUCCCUCUUUGGGGGUAAUCCUUGUGGGGUGGCAAACACUUGGGAAUGUUGUUGCAGAACUUUCUCUAUAGUCUCAAGAAGGCUUUCCUCUGAAUCCCCUUUUAGUUCUGCCUGCAUGGUUGCCCAGCUCCUUUGCUUUUCCUGUAUGAAGGAUCUGAGGUCCUUUCUUCUCACCAGUCCCAUUGUAAGUCGUUGUACAAAGCCUUGAAGGUGUAGUAAAUCUCCUCUGCUGCUAAGAGCAAUGCUGAGAGUAUGGAAGUCGAAGGUAAUAGGGCUGAAUUGACAUAUCCUGUCCACUCCCAGGAUAAUAUCCCAUCCUCCCAACUCCAUUAUCUUUAGGUCAAACUGAAAUUGGUACUCUUGGAUUAGCCAGGUUACCUUGGGACAGAUUGCCCUAUUUGUUAUGUCUGUCCCAUCUGCUAAGGUCACAAUGAAGGGAUUGACUAAGUGAUGUGGCAGAUGCAGCAGGUUGACAACCUUAUGAUGAACAAAGCUAUCAGAACUUCCAGCAUCUACCAGAAUCUUGACUGGUAGUCCUCCCAGGUUACCUAUCAACACAAUGGAUUUCCUCUUUAUAGCUCCAGACAAAGCAUUUAGGGAUACCUCAGCAAGUAUCACCAACUCUACUUGUAUGCUCAUCUUGCUCCCCUUCUAUAUCCUCAAAGUCAGUUUCUUCUUCCUUAUCAACACCUAUACAGUUUAGGUUCCCUGUUUUGCACUGAUGGCCUACCCCAAACCUUUCUUCAUAUUUGUAACACAAGUUUUGUUUACGCCUAUACUGCAUUUCCUCAGCUAAAAUCUUACUGAAUUAUCUAUGUGUGGUAUCAGCCUUCUUGGAGACUGGAGCAACUGCAGGCAGCUUGUAUGAGUUGUGGUGAUUCUGUCCACUCACAGAGUUCCUAUACAUCCCAAACUUUGGUUCUACUACAAUCCUGUGAGAAGGCUUAGAUUGCUUUGACUGGGUGUCCAAGUAGCUUUCUUGCAGUUCAGCCACUUCAAAGGGUUUGGCUACUGUCUGUGGUUUAAACAUUUCUAUCAUAGGUUUGAUCUCCUCUUUCAAGCCACUAACAAAACUGGAAACAAAGUAGGAUUCAUCUAAUUUUGGAUUCCUGGUUAGCAUUGGGGUCUUAAACUCCUCGAACUUCUCCUCAUAUUCUUCUACUGUACCUUUUUGUUGCAAUUUAUUGAAUUCCUCUACUAUGUCAAGGGAACCUUUUCCAGAAAAUCUUUCGCACAACAACUCACUGAAUUUCUCCCAGGACAUCCCAGGUCUUGCUAAUUUCACCCCUUGGAACCAGUUAUCAGCUUUUCCCUCCAAGAACAUUUGAACCAACGCUACUUUCUAAUUCGCAGGUACUUGAUAAUUCAGAAAAUACUUGUGACAUUUUCUCAACCAUUCCCUAGGGUUACUAGAAGAAAACAUAGGUAGCUCCAAUCUGGCAAAUUAGGUACUAACAUUUUACCUCUGACCUGUUGGUGACCUACCAGCUCAAUUGGAGUCAUUAGUCUCAGAUGUGGGGGCGGGGUUGGUAGAAGUGGUUUUGAUGAUACUCCGUCACAGUCCUGUGGUCCUUUCUCCUUCAUCAUUACCUUCAACAGUGCAUUGAACUUUUGCUCCAUCUUGCUAAUUUUUUUAAUUCAGAUUCCCUACCAAUGCCUCCAACUUGGAGUUAUUGUGCUCCAUUUCAUCAUGAAUUUUUUGCUGCAACUUGUUCUAUCCAGAUGUCUGAAUGUGGCCAUGGUUUCUGCUAUCUCUUGUAGUCUAUUCUCUUGUUUUUUAAGCUGAUCUUCCAGUGAUCGAUACCUAAUGUUUUCCGCCAUGGUAGUAUCUCAAUAGCCAAGGAUCAGCUGUUCUGAUACCAAAUGUCAGGCUUGGAGAUUUAGCUACCUGAGUUCUGGCCGGAAUCCAAAGGAAAUAAGCAGGAAUUGAGACAAAGAAGAAGGGAGAGAGGGAAGAGAGCAGGAAAUGAGAGAGAGAGAGGGAAUAACAGAAAGGAGAGAGAAGAAUAUUCAACUGAAAAUUUACUCAACAACCUUCAGUUACAAAAAGGGAUUAUUUAUGCAAUUAUUUCUAACUAACUGCAGCUAAUGGAACAACUAUCUUUUAAGUCUAACAACGUAGUUUUCACCCUCUACUAACCAUACUCAAAACGCACACUCCACUGAAUAAAACGUCAACCUUCUUAUUGUGAAGUUCCUGACAUUAUGUACAAUAAAGGCAAACUUGACAUCUUGGUAAUUCAAUAACUACAAACCUAUUGGAAGAAGUUGGAGGAAAAAACAUUAUCGCUAAAGCAGUGAACGCAUCUGUGGCCUCUUGUGGACUUUCUCUUGGCAAAUUCUUGUGUCAAAGAUACAUGGAUAUACAAAGGCUGAAACAUGGCAUGGUGAGCCAAAUCCAAGAUAAAAAUGGAAAAAAUAGAGAAGAAAGUGUAAAAUACUACUAGUCCCACUAAAUCAAAAAUAGCAAGAUUAUAGGUUAUGUGUUUACUUUUUUGAAUUGUAAAAAUUAGUAUUACCAUUCAAAGAAAUAGAGAGGAGAAAUGGAUGUUGGCAUGUUUGCUUGAAUAGUUAUAUGUUUUAACUAUGACAAAAUGUUUGUUUUGACCUAUAUAAGCAAAGUCUCACUUAAUACCUUUCUCAUUAAUUUGUUUCAAGGACUGCUGUCUCGCACCACUCUAAGUAUAUUGUUCAAAGAAUUUUUAAUUCAUUAAUAUAUAUCCAAAAAUUAUUAGGCCAUCAAUUGUUAAAAGUUCAAAUUUGUUAUUUAGGAUCCAUGAUGUAUUCAUUCUAUUUACAAGGAAAAUAAAAUGCGACAUGGAGAGAAAUUUACAUUUUAUUUUACUUGAGAAUUUUCCUUCCGUUGUUUAAAGUUUCUCUAGACUAUGUCCAAGCUAUUCAUUAUCGUUUAUCACUAUAACACUAUUGGUGAUUAUUAUUUGAUUUUGUAGUUAUUAAUAUUAUGUUUUCUAUAAAAAAAAUUUCCAUUUGUGGAGGAUCAAUUGGAGUUUUCAUUUGCAUCAAUUGAGAAUAAUUGUAUAAUUUAGGGAUGCUUUUAGAAAUCUUUCCUGAGAUUUCUAAUAGUUUUAUUGCCCUCUUUUGAAGUUUUGAAAUAUUACUUACAUCCUCUGUUAGUUAUUUGGGACUCAAUGCUUACCUUAUCGAUGGUCAAAUGACUUUAUUACCUUUACAACUUAAGAGAUUUUACUUAAUUAUAUAGAGAGAAAUAAUUGAACCAAUUGUAACGAAAUUUAUCAUAAUUUGGAAUGUAAAAAUUUUGGAAAAUUUGAAUCCUAUCUUUUUUCUAUAUUUUAGUAGUUGUUAUAAAUUCUUCCCCUAAAGAAUAUAUUAAAAUUUAUGUUGAUAUAUUAUUUUUUCUUAGAAUUUCAUAAGAAUAACAAGAUCAAUACCAAAAAUACACAAUUAAAGAGGGUAAAGUGUUGAAAUACAUUUACAAAUUAGUCUUAUUAAGUUACGGGUAAAAUGUAACUACACAUAAUUUUUUUCCUUUCCUUUCUUUUUCAAAAAAAAUGGCAUUUAUUUUCUUUUCAGUGUCUAUAUAAUCCAAAAAAGAUGGCUUGAAAUCGAUUUUCUCCACUAUUAUUUCCUCUUUUUUUUUCCAAUAAAAUCAUUUGCUUUUUAUUGAUCUGAACAUUAAACUAAGUGUUGUUAUCUUUUGAUUACAAACAAUGGGAAUUUCUUAUUAAUCAUGUGAAAUAAUGGACUAUAAAUGAAAGAAAUAAUUUAAAAAAAAGGACAUCAUUUAGCAUAUUUUAUAUUUUUCAUGAUAAGCAAUAGAUUAUGGUGUUUCUUUUUGAAGAGGCCAUACUUUUUGUUGUCCAAUUCCUGUUCAAAUCUUACAAAUUCCAGUGCUAAAAGUUCACGAAUUGAACCUGCAACUCUUGAUUCCAAAUUAACAAAGUCUCCAUUCCAAUUCUUUGGUUUUACUAAUUUAUGUUGUUCCAUAGAAAAGUAGCUAGCUGUUACUGUUGAAUUCUACUAUGCUCAUGUUAGCGUUGCAAUUUCCUCCAGUUAUACGACACUCUCUGACUGUGGUGUUUAUUUUGCAUAUUUAACUAUUUUUCCCUUUUGAUUCUAAGUCCACUAACAAGUAAAUAGUUGAGAGGCAUUUGUGAAUUCAAAUGUUCUUCUCACCUUUGAAAUUAUUUGGGUUGAUUUGUCCCAAGAAAAUUAGUUUCAAAGGAGGUCACUGAUAUUUUUAAAACCUUUAAAAAGGCAGUAAAAUUAUCAGCAACCUCAACCUCGAGGGAAGUUUCUGAAAUUAUGUCCUUAUAAUUUAUGUUAAUGUUAAUUCCACUAGUGGUACAUUAUUCUCCCACCUUGUGUUGGUUGUUGUACUUGCAAAAGCUAUCGGGUUUUGUUUAGAGGUAAAUAUGAUAUUACAAAACUCGUCAGGUCCAAAUUGUAAAUUUGAGGGGUUGUCUUAGAUUUCUUCAAAUUUCUUUGGGCAGUCUAGAAAGCACCCUAUUAAAAGCGUUUCCUUAGCCGCGCCUUAUACGGCACAGCUGUUACUUUAUUGCACGUAUGAUGUUUGCAAAAAUUACUGAAAGAGCCUGUUAUCCACUGUUGCUUGUCUUUUUGGUCUUCAGAUCGUGGCACCAUAUGGGUUCUUGUAACGAAAUCCUCUGGACCCGAAUGGCGGCAAUGGGUGCAUUAACUUCCGGGUUGCAGCAGCUGCAGUUGAAGACUUGUCAGCUCUUUGGAACUUCUGAUCUGCAUCACUUUGAUAACAUCCUUCCCAAGAAACGAGCUUGUGAGUUUGUUAAUUAGUACCAUAUUCCCUUUUCCUUCUUAUGGGUUUUACGAUUCAUGUGGAACUUUUUCAAUUGUAUGUAAGUUAAAGAAUCUGUUAGGCAGCACAUUUUGAAGAGAGGGGGGCUUUGCUGUUCAACAGGAGUGAGCAUCGGGUCACUUCUGCAUGAAGUCAGCUGUAUAAUCUUCCGAUAAUAAAUUUCAAUCAUUUUUUAGCCUGACUAAAUCCCGAAACCAAGAAAAUUGAAGUUCAUUAUUGCUCAUUUCAAGCUCACAACGGAAGGAGGAGAGAACUUCAAUCGUGAUUAAUUUAGCAAAUGGGAAAAUGACGUGCCUCUGACCUGAUAGUCCAACAGUGAAAACGAAUCAAAAUAUUGUUCCUCUGUUUCUCAUUCUUUGUCGCAGCUACUUAUGUGUGUACAUCCACAUACAAAAUGAAGUCAAACUGCUUGUAAUUAAAGGAUGGUGUUUGUGGCGCUGUCUUUUUUAAAUUUCUUUUUGACGCAUAGAAUUGCACAUUGAAUUCUCUGCGUUGAAAUAGUCCCAUUAUCUCAGUUGUCUUAUCACUUUGUAAAUAUCUAGCUCUGAAGCCAUUGGUGAUUGAAGCAAAGGCCAAUGCGAAGACUGAGAGUGCAAAAACCCGAAACAUUAGAUUGAGAAAAAAGGUAUGCUUCUGUCUUUGGAAUUACAAAAUAUGCGUACUUGGAAAGAUAUGUUCAGCCCAUUGACAAGUAGGACUUUAGAUAUUUGUUUGUGGAGUUUGAGGAACUCAUUUUCAAUGAGCUUAUAGUGCAAGUUUCAUUUUUGAUGCUAUCUUAAUUUGUGGAAUAACUUGCUUAGUGUUCUUGCUUUUCCACUUAUCUUUGCAAAUAAUGGUUCUUGCGUCUCUUGACCAGUUUAAUGGCACAGCAACAAAACCAAGGCUAUCAGUUUUCUGUUCAGAUAAGCAGCUAUAUGCUAUGGUAGUAGAUGAUCAGAACAAAAGGUGUUUGUUCUACGGCAGCACUCUACAGAAAUCAAUUCGCCAGGAUCUAUCUUGCACCACCAUUGUCAGUGCUCCCUCUCAAAUUAACACCACAAUUCUCUACUCCCUUCCAAAUUAUGCACCAAAAUUUCAGUAAACUGGACGCAAUUGGAAACAUAUAAAUAGUUGAAAAAAUAGUAUUCCUUUUUCAUUCUUUCUUUUCAAUGCUUUUAAUUGGGAUAAGCUGAGUUUGUCCUUGACCAAAUGAGGUUUACUGUAUCGAAUAUAGAUCUGAUUUUACGCAAUUAUUAAUAUCAGGAAGCAGCUCAACGUGUUGGUGAAGAGCUCGUCAAGGUGUGCAUCGAUCUUGACAUAAAUGAAAUUUCAUCAUAUGAUCGCAAUGGUCUUGCAAGAGGAGAUAGAAUGCAGGCAUUUGAGAUUGCCAUUUCUCGUCAUGGGUUCUUGCCACGAUAACAUUGCAAUAUUCAGAUUAAUUGUUCUUAUUCACACUGGUUGUAGCAAGAAAAGGGGAGCCUGCAUGUUUGUGAGUUCUCAGAUUGUAAAAAGCCUCCAAAGGAUCCUACAUACGGUUUGAUAUAAUGUUUAUAUUACCUACUGCUGUUAGCCUGUUACUGGGUAUAGGUGCUUCUUUAAGUGCUUUUAUGUACUCUUUUUCCAGGCAGAAUGUUCUGCGAUACACUUGCUGUAUUCUUCUUCUUCUUCAUUUUUUUUUUGGUACAAGAAGUCAAAACAUGGUUAUAGGCUAGGAGGUUAGAUCACUUUCCAUAACGCACAAUAAGGAAAUAACUACUAAUUUCGUCCCAAUACAUCGACUACCAAGUUGAUCUAAAACAGAAAGUUAUUUGUCAGUGACAAACUGAGAUGAUGCAAACAAAUGUAUGCGUCCGGGAUGUCGUUGUUGCAGUACGGAGGUGCAUGAUAAAAACUACUAAAGAAGCGUGAUAUUAGUCUAUAGAAGAUAAUCAAACUCCUAAACUAGUUAAGAAUUUUGUGUGACUUCUAUCAUAAUGUGUGACUUCUAUUCAUUUGGUAAGCUAGUCUCCAUCUAUUUGUUUCAGAUUUUGACUAUGAAUUAAGGUUGGAUGGGGAGCAAGACCAGUUUAGUUGGUUUUUCUUUUAAAGAAUCUGAUCCCCCUUCCAAGGUAGAUGGAGCAAAGCAGAGGCCCAAGACCAAGAGAAAGAUGACAAGAGAGAAAAGAUUGAUAGGAACUUAACUCAUCUUCUAUUAAGUGGAUUAAGCUUUUCUUAUAGAUUAGUUGUACUAAUCAAUUACUAUAUCACAUUUGUAGGUUUUUUGGGGUAUAAACUAAGAAGCAACACCUUAGUGUUGCAAAAAAAAAAAAAAACUUAUAAGAAACUUGUAUUGAAAUUGAAAAUAAGCUUAUGCUAUUUAUUCAUCAACUCACUAUUUAUAGUAAUAAAUGAAGCAAAGUAACAAAAUAUCUAACUAACAAUUAUCCCAAAAACUCUCAAAAAAAAAAACACUUAAUGACAUAAUCUCCUACUCAACAAAUCUUAUCUAAAAUAUUUUUUAACAAACCACAUGUUUUUUAGUAAACAAAUAUCCUAACAAGAAGAUUUAUUUAACUACUAACUAAAUUAUUCUAAUAUCAAUCGUAAUCUAAUAAAAUCUAUCGAAAAAAUUGAUAUAUCUCAACACUCUUCCUUGCCACUUUUGCUGUAGAUUUUGAAUUGCAUUCUCAAAUUUUUGGAUCUUGUUUCGGAGAAAACUUUUAUAAGAAGCUCUACACAUGAUUAGCCUUGCAAUGAAUUUAUUCUUUUGGAUUUUUAUGCAAGCUAAAGAUUAGUCUUGCAACAAACCACUUCUUUUGUCUUCUCAUGCCAAACUUCAAAUAAAAGAUUUUUUUUUUUUAUGUUUCCAAAUAACUUUCUUAUAGGUUCAAAGUGGAACACUAUUCGAUAAUAUUUGAACUUGUACAGAAAAUAUGAAAUUCUACAUGAUUCUUCAUCACCAUCAAAACUUGUAGAUUCAAAACAACAAUAUUAUAAUCUUGAUAUCUAUCAGGAAUCAAUUUGGUACCUCCUAACUUAUUAAUGAUCUCUUGUUGAAUUUUUUAGGAUUUGAAUUCUUGAUUUCAUCAUGCUUUACUUCAGAAUUGUCAAAAUCCAACCAAUUCAUAAUGAAACUUUCUCUUUUCAUUUUAAUUGGAAAAAUUUAUUCUCAAUCAAAUAAUAAGCCAUUAUCCUUGUGAAAAUGGCAUCAAAUGAUAUGUGAAUGUUGGUCUUGGAUCUCUGUCUAACUACAACUCUACGGUUUUUAAUCUAUGUAUCCAUCGAUUUUUCAAAUACCGGCAAUACAAAAUUUGUGUCGCACCACAUCCCAUAGAUUAUUGACUACCAAAUAAGUCCAAAAUUUAAUGGCCUAAAUUUGGUGAGUUUCACCACUAAAAGUUGACACAUUUGACAAAAAAUACUUUCCUAUCAUGGUUUUGAAGUUGUAAAAAAUCCUCAUCGAAUGCACUCACUCUCAAAAAACAACACAGGUAUUAAGACAUAAUCUCUGAUAUUACUGUGUCAGUUUUUUUGGGGCAUAAAUUAAGAAACAAUAUCUUAGUAUUGCAAAAAAAAAAAAAAGGCUUAUAAGAGACUUGUAUUGAAACUGAAAAUAAGCUUAUAUUAUUUAUUUAUCAACUCAUUAUUUAUAGUGAUUAUAUGAAACAAACUAACAAAAUGUCUAACUAACAAUUAUCCUAAAAAAUCUCAACAGAACACUUAAUAACAUAGUCUCCUACUCAACAAAUCUUAGCUAAAAUAUUUAUUAACAAACCAUAUGAUUCUUAGUUAACAAAUAUCCUAACAACAAGAUUUAUUUAACUACUAAUUAAAUUAUUCUAAUAUUAAACAUAAUCUAAUAAAAUCUGUCGAAAAGGUUGGCAUAUGUCAACCACAUUGAUUUGAUUUUGCUUGAGAUUACAAACAUCAUUAGUAUAUGGUUGCAAACGAACCGAGCCGCUAGCUCGAGUUGAGUUCGAUCAAUAUCGACCUCGAGUCGAGCUUGAUCAAUUUCGAGCUCAAGUCGACCAAGUCGAAUUCGAUCUCGAACUCAAAUUUAAAAUAUUAAGCUUGUUAACCCGGCUUGCGAGUUCGAGUGUAUAUAUAUGUAUAUAUAUAUAUAUAUAUAUUAUUUUAAUAGUAAAAUUAUAUAUAUAUCCCCAAUAUUUUAUUAUUUAUUAAGAAAAAAUAAUUAUUUAUUUUUUUAAUUAGAAUAAUUUUCAGAAACUCGAGCUAACGGACUGCUCACGAGUCAAAAAUUUGAGCUACAUCACGAGCUAACAAUUCAAGCUGCUCGUAAGCCAAAAAUCGAGCUACAGCUCGCGAGCCUUAUGGAGUCGAGCUUGAGUUCGAACUCGAGCCUACCUAUUAUUAAGUUGAGUUCGGCUUGAUAAGUCCAAAAUUUGACUCGACUCGACUCGUUUGCAGCCCUACAUUAGUACCAUACUACCAUGUGACACUUGUUUGUACAUUUUUGUUUGUGUCGAAAUGGGACUUCUGCUAACUGCUUCUAUUAAAAAUUGAAGCAGGUUUAAAGACGAGAAUUGGUGUGAAAUAAUGUGGGAAUGCAAAUAAACUAAUUCACGGGUUAUGAUAGAGAACAUAAAAGCUAAUUGGCAGUAUAUAUGCUAAACUGAAUUCGAACUGCCAAAAAAAAAAAAAAAGACAUCUGCUGCGUUUGGUCAAAAUUUGCUUAACGAUCAAGGAAGUAUGGGACGGUAAAGAAAAAAACAAAAUAGCUUUGGAUUGAAAAUUCUAGCGUUUAAUACUAACCAUGGCACUGGCUUGUAUCUACUUUUAUGCUUACCCUAAAGACUUCUACUCUUAUACAAGAGCGGCAAAAGACCUCUACUCUUAUAUUAAAAAAACAGGACCCUCAAAGGCAGCUUUUCGAUGACAAGCACAUGAGAAGUAGAUUUCCUUGAGCAGCCUCUGGAUUGUGCUUGUGGUGGUGCUGGUGCUUUUGACAUUCUGGGCUACAAUGGUGAUGGACUAGGCGAUGUUGAAGAAUAUAUUAUACUGGAAAGAAAUUCACAAAAUAUGGGUGCAGAACUCCUCAAGGGUGUAAAUAUUAUAUUUAUAUCACCCCUGCUCUUACAAUAUAAUUUCUUCUUCCCUAUGCUUUCAUACAUUGACUACUUAACAAAUGUAGAUAUAUUUGCUUAUAAAACUUCGAUCAGUAGUUUACUUCUUCCCGCACAUUCAUCAAUGUUUUAUGAUCACCAGCCUCAAAUGGUUAUAUGAGUUAAACUUUCUAAAAUAUUUAACACCAGCACAACUAUGCAUUGAAAUGAUAAUAUAUUCGAGAGUCUUGGAAGGUGCAACCUAGCCCAAUUAUUACUACUGAUCAGCAAGCUCAACAGUCAAGACUUCUUCCAUUCUUUUGUUCCUAGAUAAUUUUUACCUACUUUCCUUCAAUGAAUUCUCACACCAAUCAUUCCUCCCUUCAUCAUCUCACCAUUAAUCUCUCAAAUUCUUCCAAUAAAGUUCAGUUUUGUGCCUAAACCAUAUGCGCAGGUUUGAUUUCUUAAUCUAAAAUAGUUUUUGUUUUUAUUAUUUCUGCAAUUUACUAAUGUUCUAGGUUGAGAUUUUAAAUCCAAUAUUGUAUUUGCUUUGAUUUUGCAGUUCUUAUACUUUCAAAGGCAAGUACUUACUUUCUUCAUCUUUUUCUUUUAUUUUCUUUCUUUUGAUUUCUUUUUCUUUUUCUCCAACCUUAUGCUUCGCAUUUUUAGCCGCAGCUUGAGUCAUGCCAUCUUUUCUUUAUCUCUCUCUCUCUCUCUCUCUCUCUCUCUCUCUCUCUCUCUCUCUAUUUUUUCCUUUUUCAGUCUUAUCAGCAUUGUUUACCAUAGCAUUUGGUUGAACAAUUAGUAGCAAUUUUUUUUUUCUUGAAGAAGUUUGUUUUCCAAUUUCGUGGACAAUAUUCAAUGAGAUUGUUACAUAGUCAUAUUGCGUCUUUGACUUGGGGUGGCUCCCACGAAUAUUAACUGAUGUGUGUGAUUGUCCCUAAGCUUUUGGCUUAGUAUGUCAGCACUAUUGUACAAGUUAUCUCUGUACCAGUUUUGGCUUUCUUUCUGCCUUAUGUCUACUGGUGGAUGCUGCAUUUUUUCUUAUCUAAAAGGAUUUUUUUCCUUAUAUUUCGUUUUGUGAUUUUAUGUAUUAUAUUUGCAUUAGGGCAGUGGGGAAGAAAUAUACUUUGUCUCAGGCUUGUCACAUUCAUAUACUUUGUUCAAGAAAUCAAAAUUUGUUAAUUGGCUAAAAGGCUAGAUCACUUCUCUGAACACUGAAUGAAGAAAUAUCGAUUGAAUUUUGUUGCUGAUGCAAACGAUUAAUAUGUACAGUUUUUGUAGAAACACCCCAUCAACAACUAACCAAACAGCGCAUAUAUGUGUGCCUCUCGGGGUGUCAUUGCUGCAAAACGGAGGUAACAUGAACAAAACUAGUAAGGAAUUUUAGAUUAACCCAAAGGAAAUCAUCGAACUCCUAAGUUGGUCAAGAAUGUGGUGUCUUCUAUCAUAAUAAAGAGACAGAAGUAAGCCAAUCUAGUGGUAUUUUCAAUUCCUUUCUGGUAAAAUAGUGACUGCUGAUUAAUUUGACUUUCUGAAUAGGUUUGUUCCAAUUGUUCUCAUCUUACGAGAUUUUCAUUUGGUGAAGUUAUCUUGAUAUAUUAGUUUUUAGAGUUUACCAUCAAUUAAGGUUGGAUAGAAGGAGCAAAAACAGUUAAGUUGGAGCAUCAUGCUCCCACACAUUUUGAUCGGUUGACGAAACUAGCAUGCUUAGGAAGAACAUGAGCAGCAUAUAUACUUAGUCAUAUGUUGAAUGAUAAUGAUGCUUGGCAAAUGCUUAUUUCAGAGAGUAAAGCAGGUUAAAAGAGAAGAUGUUUGACAUCCCACAAGUAUUUCUAGUGACUUUCAUAUGUAGUUCAGCUCAAAAUCAUUUCACUGGUCAAGCAUAGUACUAAUGUAGCUUAAUAUCUUAUUUACACAUUGAGUUUGAUUGUAGUUUAAGCCUUUCAAUAUUCCCUUAACUACUGAUGAAUAUUGUUUCUGAUCAAUUCUCAUUUUAUUUCCUGCCAACUUCAAAGUACCCUUGUCCUUGACAUGUAUAGCAAUAGCUAGAUUGUUACUACUGCUACCCUUACCCUCCUCACCUUUAACAUAACUCCAAAUUGCAGAAUAGCAGCAAGGUACUGGAAAUGGAACAAAUUCUUCACACGAAAGGAGGGGAAGAUGAGGAAAGCUAUGCCAAAAAUUCAGCAUUUCAAGUAAGUGAUACAUAUCAGAGGAAAGCUAUGCUAUAUAUAAUUCUGUGACUGAUCUCUAAAUGAGUUUCUACCCUUCAGAGAUUAGUGUUUAUGAAUGUCAACCAUGCACUCAAUCGGAGCAUUCAGGAGUUUUGUCAAGUUUACCUAGCAGAGGCAGAGUGCAUAAGAGUAGCAGAUCUGGGAUGUGCAUCGGGACCUUUGAAUGAGGACUUAGAAACCCUUGCAUGUGAAUACAUAUUCUU
rnacentral:lncRNA from 1 species